UCCACCAUCCCUCUUUUUCUCAACCCCACAGCCUUUGAGAGGCUCACAAACUCCAUCUUUUACAGCCUCGCUCAAUGUAGGACACAUUGAGGCUGCAGAUGGAGUUAUGGUUGAAGAAGAUGGACGAAAGUGUAGAUCACCCUCCCAGUAAACAUGUCCCAAUUCCCUUGCUGUUGUCCGAGGAAACUUUGUCAUGGAUUCCUUGGCCAAAAAUUUCAUCCACGCGCUGGCAGCCGCCUCACAAGUGGAGUAUUUUUCAUGAAUGUUCCCAGGGUAGCAAUAGACUUGGCGAUGUACUUCGGCCCAAGUUUUGUAAAUGCCCGGUUCUCUACCCACAAACACAACGUAUUUCCCCAUUCCCUCACUACUUGGUGUUUCCAUUUUUUAGAAGCUCUAUGUAGGACUGUCCCAACCGUUGGUUAUAUAUAUCUAAGAUAGAUAUAUCUAAGAUAGUAAUUACAAUAUUUACUAUGUACCUAACUCUAACAUAACAUAUUAUAUUCUGUGAGUGAACCACAUAGUGACAAGCCUCUGCACGCUGACAGAUAGCCUGUGGCGGAGGGGCAGGGUAGGCUUUACCCUACGCCUGACCAAACGGAAGACAGCUGUGUUAAUUCACAUUCAAGUUAAAGCACAUCACGUGCUUAGUUACCUGAACACGCAUCAUGCGUAUCUGAUGCGUCUCAGCAAAGGAGAUGAGGGUAGAAGACAGGUGAGAAGGGACAGAUGAGUGUACAAAAAAGGUCAGAAGGGACAUAUGAGAUAAGACUUAAAUAUUUAAUAAAUAUUUAUAAUUCAUUAAUAAUCUUUUAUUAUCUACAAAUAAAUAAAUAAAUAAUUAACAAAUAUAAAUAUUAUUUCUAACAGAAUAAUAUAAUAACAAAUAUUAAUAAUUAAAAAAUAUUAAUAAUAAAUGCAUAAUAAAAAUAUUUAAAUAUUAUUUAUUACAAUAUAAUAAAUAAAAAUCAAUUUUUAAUAAAAACAAAUAUUAAUAAAUAAAAAAUAUUUAUUAUUUUAAUUUAUUAUUUUUUAGAAAUAAAUAUAAAUUAUUUUGUUUAUUGAUAUUAUUUACAGUAUAAUACAUAAAAACAAAUUUGUUUUUUUUUUUGGUAAUAAAAAACAAAUUUGAUUUAAACGGACCUGAACAAUUUUUUUUUGGCCCGGAUUGAAGAGGCAAAAAAAAUAAACCAUCUGGGCCAUGACAAAAAUACAUAUACUUACAAAAACUUGGCCCACUUCGCUCGACCAGCUCCUUCAUUCUUCAUUUUCAAAAAAAAAAAAACGUGCUCCUCCUUCAAGCAUACCCAGAUUAUCCUGGUAUUCAUGUCUUCGCCAUAACCUGGGUUUCAUGUCUUCACCGUUAUCCUUCAAGCACACCGAGAUCCUCCCUUGUUUUAACACAAACAGAAAGUGUUACUGUUAGUAUUCAUUCAAUCCAAUAAUUGAACAAAGUAACGAAAAAACCAAAAAUACUUCGAAUCACAAAUUAACAAAGUGUUUGCAGGAUAACAUCUUCGCAUCCCAUACAUGCACUACUUAAUUUCAACACUUGAAAUCUCUUAUUUGAAAACCCCCAAAUUCAACCCUAAUUUCAGAAUAAUGUCAAAUCCCUAAUUUGAAAACCCCUAAAUUCAACCCUAAUUUCAGAAUAAUGUCAAAUCCGUAAUUUGAAAACCCCCAAAUUCAACCCUAAUUUCAAAUUGACUUCAAUUCAAUAAUUUGAAAACCCAAAUUUCAACUCUAAAACGGAUCAAAAUCGCUUUAAUCUAGCAGAACCCCAAAAUUGAACCAAAUAAUUCUCUCUUGUUCAUGCAGUAAUUAUUUUCAAAAUCACCUUAAUCUGGAAAAAACCCAACAAAGAAAAACCAAUUUCAGAACUCGAAAACGACACUUAGAUCACCAACUUGUUUCAAAAAUUUUAAAUCCUAAACUUCAACAAGGAGAAGGGGAUGAGAAAUGAAGAACUUACACUUCGGUGGAAUGAGAAAAGGAAACGCGAUGUGUGACAAAGGGAUUCGCUAGAUCUGGAGACGAAUCCACCCAUGGAAACCGGAUUCGAUGUUGGGCUUCGAAUGAAGGUGGGUUUUCAACGGAUGGUGGGUAUCAAGGGAGGUGGGUUUCGAGGAAGAGAACAGGCGACGCUAAACGAACGAUCUCGGCCUUCGAUGAAGGUGGUUGGAGGAAGAGGAAAGGCGACGAGAACGCUAGAUCUGGAGGUGGGUUGCGAUGAAGGUGGCCAUGAACCCUAAAGAGUUCUCGAGAACAAAAGGCCAAAUGAGUUUUUGUGUUUGAUUUCUGGGGCGUAUGGGUUGAAAAUGAAAGUGAUUUAGAUCUGAUUUUGAAAAUUAAAGUGAGUGGGUAGUUGGAGUAAUUGAAGUGAGUAAGUGGGAGACAAUUAAUGAUUUGUUGGUGUAAUUAGUAGGAGUAAUUAAGUAAUUAACUGAUUUACCUUAUCAUUUUACCUCCCCAAUUACCACUAUGAUUUACCUUCAAUUAACUACUAAUCUUUAUUUACUAAUUAAAUCAUUUAUGGUUUAUAAAUUAAUUAUUUUGUUUUCAAAUAUUUAAAAAAUACAAUAUUACCUAUGGUAUCAGGUCAACCGGGAGUGGUGUAACAUUAGAUCACAAAAAACUGGUCCAUAAUAAAUAAAUCCAAGGUUUGAUGUGUACUUUGUAUUUUUGGGGUGAACAUCAAUAAAGAAAAGAAAAAUAUGACGCAACUCAUGUUGGCCCCUCUAGAGGCUGGGACAAAGAUGAUGAGAUGUUAAGAUACACUUAAGAGAUGUUAAGAUACACUUAUUCUUCAUAUUUUAUGAGUAAUGUUUCAUCCACACCUCUUUUUUAAGGUGGAGAGGAAGGAGAGGUGAAAUGGUGAGAGAGAUAAGAAAAAAGGAAAAAGUAAGAGAGAGAGAGAAAAUAUGAGAUGUGAUAGAUGAGAGAGAUAGAAAUAAAAAUAGGUGGAAAUGAAGUGUUUAAAAAAUGAGGUGUGUAUAUAUCAUUACUCAUAUUUUAUACACAAUACUUGUGAAUUGGUUAAAGACUUCUAAGUUGCAAAACUUACCUAAGUUGGAUGAGUGACGAUCCUCCUCUAAUGGCCCCUUAGGUCGUGGCAAGUAAACGAUCCCAGCAAGAAAUCUCAAGGCAGACUUAUACAUACUCUUAGGUUGGUUAGUCGAAUUUCCAAGACUCUUUAGUGAUUCACUCAGGACCAAACAUGUCACUGCAUUUUAGGGUGUCCUUUCCAAGCGUGGGAAGUCAUCCUCUCAUUUUAGGAACGAUCCAUGUAUAUGAUUUCCCUAUAUAUUACUUACUUUGUGUAUGGACUUGCAAGCCGUAUUCAUAUAAGGCACAAUGGACCAAUUAGAAAUUAGGUUUAGGGUUUACACUUUUUCUACUACAAAAAAAAAGUUUCACAUGUAAUGAUGAUGUUUUUUCACUUGACUUAAUACAAAACGACGACUAGGUCUAAAGAUGUUUUGAAUACGCUUAUAUCCUGUGUGACAUUUUUUUUAUUUAAUAUGAAUUUUAACUUUAGGCUAAACAAUAAAGUAAUAUGAUUAUGUUUUUUUUUUAUAAGCCAUGAAAUAUAUUGAAUAAAGUAAUAUGAUUAUGUGGUUGGAGGGAAUAAAUAGAAAAAAAAGACACAGCAGAGUAGAAAAGGUUGGACUGAAAUUAUAUCGGAAGCGUGAAGCAACACCAACCAAAGCUUGCAAAUUUGUCUGAAACAAUAAUCGCAUGUUGGAUUUCCUCACUCUCACACUCCCUACAUGGCUACGCUUUCGCUCACUCUCAACUGUUGCUGUUGCUGGAGCACCGUGAAGUAUGCUCACACCAUAUAUCCUGCUCCCAUCAUCAAUCUCCUUCACAGUUAGUCUAAACCUUCUUACACCAUUUUUAGUAACCUUUAUUUACUGGAUUUCUCUUUAGUUUCAUAGUUUUAUUGAUGCAUUUCCAUUUGCCCAAUCAAUUUGUGUUUAGUGAUUGAAGAAACUAUAUUGUCUUUUUUAUUUUUUCAUAGGGAGAAGAUAUAGCACAUGUUCUUUUGCCAAGAAGAGAUUGAAGAAAUCUAAUAGAGAUGUACCAGAAACAUUUGAGGAUCUCUCAGAUGAUAAAUUUGUUCAAAAUGACAACUUGGACACUUCUCUUAAUCCAGCUGCUCAGAAUUCUAACCCCAUGCCUUCUAGGAAUGCUGUGCUUCAAGCUUGCACAAUAACUUCUGCUCUGAUAGCGGCUGUCGGAAUAGUGAUUCGGCAGGUGCUCUUCCUUUUUAAGCAUUACUUGAUUGAUCUCUUUUCCCCAAUUUUAGUCUAUUUUAACAAUAUAACUUUGAUUACAUAUGAAACCUGUAUAUGUUGUAUUCUUGCACCAUAUUAGUCUGGAGAGGUUAAAUUGACAUUGAAAGUUAUAUCCUUUAGAACUGAGUUGUUAAUUCGGGACAAAGUUGUGUUUCUUUUUCCUGGAAAAGAGUGUUUUCAAAUUUAUCACCAUUUGGUUAAAGCUUGUUAGCAAGGGAAAUUUGCAUAAACAGGAUGUUAUGCCUAUUUGGUACUUCAUUUAGUUUUUGCAACUUGCAGGUAUCUCAUAUUGCAUCAAUAGAGGGAUUGCCAGUCUUGGACUGCUCUACCGAAGUCUCAUGUAAUACACUCAUGUUUAAUUCUUGCCAUUAGUUUUUGGUCCAAACUUCUACUUAUUGUCUUCUAUUUGAAGGGAUACUUAAAUUCACAAAAAAAAUUGUGUGUCAAGAGCUAUUUUUGGACUCUUAAUUGCAUUGCAUAGGAUAACUGGUCUCCUCAUACAUGUGCUGUUAACAUAAACCAGUGUUGAUGUUUGUGAUUUGUGAAAUAUUUAAACGUAUAUGGAAAUGAAAGUAUAACCUUCCUUGUGUAUACUUGUGUGCACCUGCGUGCUUUGGAGCCGGGCUACACCUGCAUGGAUUUUAUUUAUUGUGACAUUUUCAUGAAUACUGACCUGAAAUACAAACUAUCUCAUCUUCUUCUUGUGGAACUCAAAGGUUAAGAGGACAUGGCUCCUAAGUUCUAAUGGGUUUAAUCAUGGAAAUUCAUGAUUAAGAGAAGUUUGUAUAAUUUUCUUGUCAAGUGCCAGUAGCAAAUAUGAAUGUGCAUGUGUCUUGGUAAAUACAUCUUAAAUAUGUUGAAUUUUUUUAUUAUAAUGCAUGAAGUAUCCUAAGAAUUUUUUUCCCCUUUUAUCUGCAGUUGGUUUUGAAACGUGGCAUCUUGAGUUGAUUACAGGACUUGUAGUGUUAAUAUCAUCAUGUCGUUUUUUGCUAUUGAAGACUUGGCCGGAUUUUGCCGAGUCUAGUGAAGCAGCCAAUCAGCAGGUUAGUUAAUCGAACCAUGGUUCUGGAAAUGCUCUUUAAGAUUUUGUUAACUUUGUUAUUAGUGGGUUUCCAUUUAAAUCUUGAAUAUUCCAAUUGUAGGUGAUAGUAAUUUGAGUUAAUAUUUAUGCCAGAAUCUGACAGGAAAUGGUUCCAAGCUAAGAUUACUUUUCUUGCAAGCCUUGUUUUCUUUUGUCAUUUUUGUGGUUCUGUGUUUGUAUCAGUAUUCAGAUGCUUUGCUUUUACCAAAAAAAAAAGAUGCUUUGCUGAACUCUUGAAACAUUUUUCUUUCCCAAUCAGGUUCUCAGCUCACUCCAGCCUUUGGAUUAUAUUGUCGUUCGCAUUUUUUCCUGGAAUUAGUGAGGUUAAUAGAGCGCUACUCUGCUUGGCUUAUUUCACCUUUUCUUAUUUACUUUCAUUAUUUGACUGACAUCACAUGCUACCAUCUCAAAUUCCAGGAACUACUUUUCCGAGGCGCGAUUCUGCCACUUUUUGGAAUGAAUUGGAAGAGUAUUGGGGUGGCUGCCUUGGUCUUUGGUGUUUUGCACCUAGGCAAUGGUCGAAAGUAUUCCUUUGCCAUCUGGUGAGAUAUCUUUCUAAUUUCUUCCCCCCGCUCCUGCCCCCUCUUUUCUCUCUCUUUCUUCCUACUUGUAUUGCUGUUCCUAGAUCAUAUAUACUUUCCAUUAUUAUGUUGUUACUUGUUAGGCAUGAGAAUUAGAGAAUAAGACUGUUGUUUGUGUUUCAGGGCAACCUUUGUCGGUCUCGCUUAUGGAUAUGCUACAAUUUUAUCCUCUAGCGUUGCAGUUCCCAUGGCUUCUCAUGCAGUGAACAACCUGAUUGGAGGGCUAUUAUGGCGUUACACAUCAAAUACAUCGAAGCAGAAAUGAAAAAUUGUCAUCUUCAUAGAUACGUCACCACCACAUCUAUGUUUUGCAACCUCCUCCCUGGGGUUUGAUGUAAUGUGUACAAACAUUAUGAUGCAGAAAUUCAGAUCACAAGAGGCCAUUCCAUGAGGUUCGUUUGCAAUUUGCAAAUGCAGCAACUAAUUUAGCGGCACUGCUUUCUCCGCCAUUUUCAAGGAAAAAUUCAAGCUUGUAUAUUACUUACAGAUUAUAGAUUUUUUUCUGUUAUAAAUCUAUUGAAAAAUAUGUUUUGGAAUUUACUUACCGUAAAUAGAUAACUGUAAUUUUGUAAUGUAAGUGGGGUUGCUUGGGUUGGUUAUUACCUAUUUGGAUUUUGGUUUGUGACUUCCAUUUUUGGAAUAUGACCUUAUUGACUUAGGAUUAAACCUUUGUUUUUGUUACCCUUUGAAGGAAUAUUACUCUAAAAAUAAAAUGGCAAACAGAACAAACAGAAAACCAAAGCACCCGCGUUUAAGACGAGUUGUCCAUCCUUCUCCCUAUUCCUCACCUCUUUAUAAAAUGCAACAUUCCAACCUGUUUUUUUAUUCAUUCAAUUCAUCUCAACCUCUUCUCUUCCUUCUUUUUUCCUUCUCAUCUUCUUUGUUGUCUAUUCCUCUUUCCCAGAAGUUUGGGUAACCACCACAUAUCUCAAAGCUUCAACCUAUGGCUUCGGUAAGAUCCUUCACACCAUUUCAUUUUCCAAUCGUUGAUGUAAUGAUUUUGCAGUGAUUCUUGUUUAUGAUGAUGUGUAUUUAUUUUUUUCUGCCAUUUCUGUGAAGAGAUGAAUCAAUGUGAAUUUAUAAAUUAUGCAUUUGCAGUAUGAAAACCAAGGAAAGCCUCUACCCAAGUUCGGGGAAUGGGAUGUGAAUGAUCCUGCCUCAGCUGAAGGAUUCACUGUUAUAUUCAACAAGGCCAGAGAUGAGAAAAAAACUGGUGGAGGAGGAUCCCAGCGCAUUACGUCGCAACGAAGAUCCGAUUCGCGCAAGGAUGAUGAUAAAUCUUCCAAGGUAUGUACAUAUCAAUUAUAGGUGUUUAUAUAUUUUAUUUCAAUAAUGAUAUUUGAACAUACAGACUACGCAAACACUCAAUAGACACCUUAUUUUUCCAAUAGACACCUGAUUUCUCGCUCUGGGUUGGGUGUUUGUUAGAUGUCUCCACUAUGUGAAUGUCUACAAAUCACUUUCGAUUUCCUUUCUGCAAUAACAAUAACAAUUAUGCCUAUUAUGAAGCUGAACAUGUUAUUGUGCAUGAAUGUUUUGUUACAGAAAAAGUGGUUUUGCUUUAAACCUUAAACAAGGAUGAUGUCUGUUAUGCUGCUUGGGACGGAUAACAUGAUUCUCUUCAGUUUUCUUCAGAGGCCACAUUUGUUGCCAGAUCACUGAUUAGAGAUGAUGAAAAGAAUGAAAAUAGUUGCAGCCUGCUGGAAUCCCUGGUUUAACUUCUAGUUGUUUCCUUGUUUUCUACCCUUCGCCACCUAAUUCAUACAUUUAAUUAAUGGAUUUAGCUACUUGUACGCACCAGCCCCAAAAGCAAAUAUGUAAAUAGGUGUAUCAAUGACUAUUUUAUUAUGCAAUUACAGAGAGGAGAUAAAUGAGUUUUUAUUAUAUUCAUGAAUCAUGAUGUUGAUGCGCUCAACUAGGGGAUUUUGGUCUUUCGAUUCUUUUAGCUCAUGCCAUGUUUGUAGGAGGGGCGUCUUCUAUUUAAAUAUGGCCAAUUACAACUGGAAUUGUUGUUGAAUGAAGACAAGAAGUAGUUCUCUGCACCAGAAGCAUAUUGCUAACCAUGUUUGGUUGAAAACUUGCAAUAGAUGGUAUAGUAUAUGCAUCGAAAUUAGAAUGCAUGUUUAUUAUGUAAUAAGACUUUUCUAUAAAAUUGAUACAAUGCAAUGUCUUUUAACACUAAUUUGACAAAAUAAAUCACAGAAGAAAAGGCAGAAUGAUGUAUAAACAUCAUUACUUAUUACUCCAUUUGGGUGAAUACUAAUGUAAAACUAACUAAGAAAUACACGGUUUUCAAGACAAAAUGUGAAUGAGAGUUAAGCUAGUCUUUUGACUCUUUACCAAUGAUUGGUGAAACUCCUCUUCAAAAUUGAGAGAAUUUUUAGGUGAUGAAAAAUUAGUUAUGAUUUAUAUAUUUGUUGACUAAUUUUUCUAUCUACCACAAACUUAUUUGUUUUUAUGUGAUUUUUAUAUCACAAUAUACUAUACAGUCUCAAUUUCAUUUUUUUAUUCAUUGCAUUUAACUUUCUUUUUCAUCCAAUUUCCUUUAAUUUUUUCUUUCAUUUCUCUCUUCUAUUCAAAUAGAGUAUUGCUAUAUGGCACUACAUUUCUUGAGCACGAUUACCACGACCCAAUAUAUUCAAUCAUUGACGAAAAUCAUGUUGGGUGUAUGAGUGAGAAAAAGAUGAUUUUACAGAUAAUCUAACGGUGGACAAUUAGUCGUUCAUGGUCGUGUGAUAAAUCAGUAGUGUCAAAAAUCAUUUCCCCUUCAAAUAACACCACUCAUCGUAUCUCUAAUUUCUCUUACUUCUCCCUAUGUCUUUGUGGUUGUGGGUAAAAAUGAAGUAUCAACUAAACAUUUUAUCUUUUCAUAACGGUUUUUCCUCUAUUUCUAUCUUCCACCAUCUUUAUUUGGUUGAAGUAGUUUGAGAAGAGAAAAAGAUGAUGAAGAGAGUUAGAGAAGAGAUAGGGGAGACAACCUUGUGUUGUAGUUGUAGAAGGGAGGGGGAGAGAAAGACGUGAGGGGGUGGGCCUCACCACCUUAAAGGUUCUCUACAAAUUGGGGAGAAAAGAUGUGUAUACAUUUGUUUAUAUUUUUUAAAUUUUCCCUACCAACAAAUUUUUAUUUAAUACUUAAUCUGAUAAAAUUGUCUUUAAACACAAAAAGAAACUUUGUCUUCUCCAUCUUAUUUAUCUUUCUAUCUAUUUCUCUCCUUUUUAUUUUUCUUCUAAAAUCAAACAAAUCAUUAGUGAAUAUAUAUAUAUAUAUAUAUAUAUAUAUGAGAUUAAAUUAUUAACUUUAUUUUGAUAUAAUAUUUGACACCUUACCUUUAGAUAAUAAUAAUAAUAAUAAUAAUAAUAAUAAUAAUAAUAAUAAGAAUGAAGUUAGUCAUGAGAAUGAUGGUGUUGACAAAGGAAACACUAUUUGAUCUGAACAUUUAGAUGCAAAGAAGUUGCAAGUGUUGAUGGGCACCAAGAAGAAGAAUUGGAAGUCAGACGCGAGUACAUAGAAAAGGAAUCAAGACCACUUUUACCUCAUGUAUCUGUAAAAAGCAAUUUGCUACCUAUUGAUUUAGUAAACCACAUUUAUGAAUUCCAAAUAUUGUGCAUUAGAUUGAGGUUUAUUUAGAUUUUUUGAACUGCCUAUGUUUUAAAUGUGGAGUUGUGCAUUCAGAUAGUAUCGGAAGCUAUGGGUGCCUUAGAGAGACCAUGGAUAAAAUUGGCUAUGAUUAAAUUUGAAGGACUCUCAACUAAGGGUUUGAGACUAAAAUCUAGGGUGCCGGUGAAAUAUCUAUCGCCAAUCAUCAUUGCACAAUCCAUUGGGGAUAUUUUAGCUUUUAAGGGCAAAGGGCUUGAUACUAGCGCACACGUGUCCUAGAAUGAGCCGUUGGUUUGCAGUCCUUAGAUGUUAGACAACACUGAUGUUGUUGAUGGCAACAUGAGGCUGGAUUCUUUAUAUUGAUGGACGUAGAUAAUAUCAAUGAGCUUGGCUCCAAAAUUCUUGCAUCCUAUCAUGCUAAUUCUUUUAACUUUAUGCAUAGGAUUUUAAAGGAAGAAAUGAGACAAGGAAAAGGCUGGGAUAAAAUUUAUGAGCCUUUUGAACCCCAUAGCCUUUUGAGCCUAUGAGCCUUAUAUAAGUCGAGAGAGUGUUUGUCUUGCCAAAGCAAAAAAAUUACACCUAUGAAUCUGAUGUAAGAAAGAGCAAUGAUAAUGAAUAUGAUGAGCGUAUUAUUGAAGUAUUUUUAAGUUCAAAUUUAAGUAUGUAAUGCCAAAUUGAUGGAUUAUAGUUGGAUACAUGGCAUUACCUUUUUUCACUGUUGGUGGAACUACUUAAACAAAUUUAUAUUAAGUUAUUUGAAUAAAUUCAUUAGUGAAGUAAUUUAGAAGCUGUACGUAGCACUCUCCUCUUUCUCUUUUUCACGGUCAGUUGUACGUAGCACGCUCUAGAGUACGAUCAAAGAGGGGACAUUAAAUUUGUAUAUUGUGUGAUGCAAGAAACAUACAAACUUCUACCUUAAAUGUAAUGUAUAAGGAAGUUUUUUGUAAUGUUUGUUGUAUUUUUUUUGGUGCAUAGGAAAACUAAUAUUUGUUGUAUUAAACGAACAUGUAUUUACUUAUUCUUUUUUACUAAAUAAAUUAUCCAGUAUAUGUAUUGGAAAUUUUUACUAUUAAACAACAUAACUAACAUGUAAGAUACAUACUAACACGUUUUCUUCAACAAUAAAAAAGAUACAUACUAUCACAAUUUAUAUAAAUUUAAGUUAAAUCAUUCAUAUAUAUAAAAAAAUGAACAAUUUAUAAUUUCCGUGCAACGCACGGGUCAUCACACUAGUUUUUUAAAUUUUCCCUACCAACAAAUUUUUAUUUAAUACUUAAUCUGAUAAAAUUGUCUUUAAACACAAAAAGAAACUUUGUCUUCUCCAUCUUAUUUAUCUUUCUAUCUAUUUCUCUCCUUUUUAUUUUUCUUCUAAAAUCAAACAAAUCAUUAGUGAAUAUAUAUAUAUAUAUAUAUAUAUAUAUAUGAGAUUAAAUUAUUAACUUUAUUUUGAUAUAAUAUUUGACACCUUACCUUUAGAUAAUAAUAAUAAUAAUAAUAAUAAUAAUAAUAAUAAUUACAUCUUUGUUUUAUGAUAAGAACGUGAAAGCGCAAGGAGGAUGUAGGUCAAGUUAAUUUCGCAUAAUCACCAAUGCAUGGUUAUUUUCUCCUUGUCCUACUCUUUCCUUAUCGCCAAUCAUCUUAACAAUGGAAGCUUCAGGAGUUAAAAACAAUUGCGCGCUAAAGAAACUUAUCCUUGAAUGAAACAACAAAACAAUGAAGAUUGGAAUUAAAAAAAGCUCUAGAGGGAUUGGAUGGGAGGGGGCGGUGCUGAAGAGGGGCAAUAAUUAAUGUUAUCGAAUGGCAAUUAAUGCUCGUGAACUAUAGCAUAAUGCAGGCAAGCAUUCAUGAGGAAUAUAUGUCUUUAGAUUAGCUAUGAAGCAAAAAUACACGUAAUAUCAUGUAUCUCAAGACAUUAAUAAAAAGUUGGAAUUUAUCGUGUGUUAAUCGACAUUACGCUUUUAAGUUAUUUGUACUCCAUCUGCCUAUGUAGUUGUUCAGUGAUUCUUAAUAUGUUUUUUUUUUAAAUUAUGCGAUAAUUUCUAUCAAAUUAGUGAAAUUACACAUUUUAACCCUCGUGUUAUGUUGUAAUAUGACUACACUAAAAGCAGUAUCUAGAACUGUGCCUAAAUUUUAUCCUAAUGAAAAUCUUCCACUACAAAAAUUCGGAGGUCUAGCAACGGUGAUUUAACGGUGGUUAAAAAAACAUACCGUCGGUCUUUGAAGUGUCCCAUAUACCUUCAAUUUUUUAAAUUCUUUCGUGUUACAAUUCACAACAAGAGUACUUAUAUUUAUCUAAGAAAAUCUUUUGCAGUAGUUUAUGUUUAUUUUACGUACUUUUUUUUUAUAAAUAUUACUAAUUAGUAAUUAUUAACUUCAUUUUCUGAAGAAUCAAAAAAGUAAUUAUUAACUUCAAACAAGCACAUUAAGUGAUACAUAGACACAUAAUCAAACAUUGUACGUGGCAAUUUACCAUCCUCAUUCAAUCUUUCUCCCUUCAUCAAUUUAGUUAUUGCAUACAUUUCAAUACGAGUCCUAGUGAGGGAUAUGAUUGAGAAGGGAUCCUCUGUGAUAUAGGCAACCCCCUUACUUUUUGUACACACUUUUAAUUCUAUCAACUGUAUAUAUUAAUAGCUAUAAUUUAGUUACAUUUUUAGGUAACCUACAGUUUAAUUUUACCAAAUCAUUAUUGCUUCUAUUUCCCAUUUUUGGGUAUACAAAUUAAUUAUAUAUAUAUAUACAAAUUAAUUUAGUCAUAUAUAUAUAUUCCAUUUAUGAUUUGUUAGGUGCAUGUAGCUCUCCCCCAUAUAUAUCAUAAUAUUUAACGCCAACCAUCCCCUCCUCACUUUCCCUCAUCUUCCAAACUAGCUAAGAAGACACGUAGAAAGAAAGCUACUCUACAAGUAGAAAACCCACUCCAAGAAAGAGAAAUAUGCUUCCCAUAACAUGCAGCAGCCUGCACUUCCCAGCACCACUGCUCAUCAUCAUCAUCUCAUGCCUCGGUUUAAUCGUCAUCCUCAACCACCUCAUCUCCCUCUUCAAGUGGAUCUUCCACACGUGUUUCAGGCCUGAGACCGACCUCGCCGGAACCUACGGCUCGUGGGCUCUGGUCACCGGCGCCACGGAUGGCAUCGGAAAAGCCAUGGCCCACGAGCUCGCCCGGAAAGGCCUCAAUCUCAUCCUCGUCAGCAGAACUGCCAAGAAGCUCGAAAUGGUUGCAUGCGAGAUCCGAGAUAAGCACCCUGGCACCCGCAUUGAGACCAUCCAGGUCAGUGAAAGACUCAGCUCCAUUAGAAACUAUCACUAUGGAACAAGAAAAAUAUAGUACGUUUACAAUUAAAAUAGUUUCUUUGAAAAAUUAAUUUUAACACAUAAGAAACAUAUUAUAAAUAUCAUGUACUAAAUGUUAGUAGCUAGUAAAAAAAUGACUAGUGGAAUUGUCAAUUUUGAUCCUUUCUAAUUAUUCAAUUUUACUUAGUAUUUUAAUUUUCUCUCCCUUACUCAAAUUUUCUGGUUCCAUCCUUGGUUUAGGUGGAUUUCUCCGGUGAGUUCUCAGCGGGGCUCCGGCGGAUUACGGAGGUGGCAAUGGAGCUGGAUCUUGGUGUUCUGAUCAACAAUGUUGGGGUCACGUAUCCGGGGGCGAUGUUCUUCCACGAGGUGGAGGAGGAGGUGUGGAGGAACCUUGUGAGGGUUAACAUUGAAAGCACAACGAGAGUGACGAAAGCUGUUUUAUGUGGAAUGUUACAGAGGAAGAGGGGUGCCAUUGUUAACAUUGGUUCUGGUGCUGGGGUGGUUGCGCCUUCACACCCUCUCUUUACGAUCUAUGCAGCAACAAAAGCGUAAGUUUUCUCACUGCACCUUCCUCAUUCAUUACUUUGUCUUUGCAUGUUCAUAUAUAGCAAGACUACUAUACACAAUAAAUUGUAAUAAAAGCACUUUUACCUAAAAGGAUAGUUUUAUUUAUAAAUUCUAUUUUCUAGGCAUUUAGACAACUUCUAAGAGGAUAAUUUUAUUAUACAUUCUAGGUUUUAAAGAUCAAACAUGAUAAAGUACUAAAAUUUACUUUUUUUAUGGUUUAAAAAUAAUUAUACAUAUAAUAUACACAAACAUUCAAUUGUAUUUCACUAUUUUAACACAUAUAUAUUUAAGUUAAAAAUAAUUAAAAAAUAUAAUAUAAAUAAAGUGCAGUGAAAUUGACAGGGAGAGACACUAAAGUGCAACCCGUGAUGCAUUACGGGACACGUCAAAAACUGGAGAGUUCUGACUCUAGGCACCCUCCACUCCAGACUUGUAACUGAUGAUCACAAAAAAGAAAUAAAACAGUUAUGCAUCACUCUCUUUUUAACUGUGCAUUAAUUCCUCACGGGACAGUUUAUUAAUAUGUAGAUGAUGAACAAUAAUUAUUUAUUCACACCUCAAAAUGAUGUGGAAUGAGGUGGAGGAAGAGAGAUAGGAAGAAAAGAAAAAGUAAGAGUGAGAAAAUAUAAGAUGUGAUAGAUGAUAAGAGGAGAGAGAUAGAAAUAAAAAUAUGUGAAAAUAAAAUGUAUAAAAAAAGAGAUGUAUCAUUACCCGAUGAUGAAAUGAUUGAGAGUGAGACAUCGAGUUUAGUACUAUCAUUUUGGCCUAUAUUUUUAUGAUUUAAAAGUUUUCAAUUAUAAUUUUUUACAGUGGAAAGAUAAAAUACAUUUUUAAGGGAUUGAUCCCUUAAAAUUUACCUCUCUCGUUUAUAUAUUUCUCAGCUUUUACCACUUGAGCUAUCAUUCGGAGAUAAUUGUUAAUCUUAAUUUAUUAAUUAAAUAAAUAUUAUCUAUAUUUAUAUAGGCUAAAAUUAAAGUUUAACUAUAUAAAUUAAUUCAAAAACUUUCUAAAAUGAUUUUGAACUGAUUUAGAUAAAGUCAUUAUUCACUUGAUGAAUAAAAGUGGGUUUGCAUGCGCACAUUGAAGUAAGUUAGCACAAUAAGAUCAAUUGUAGGAUGUUUUUUUGUGAAAAGUGGAUCAAAUGGAUUGAGGGUUGCUUGACGUUGGUUUCAUUCUCAAUUUCGAUGAACAGAAGCUCGUGCGAUGAAUUCUUCAUAUCCCUGUAAAAGGGAUUAGACAAUGUGACUCAUUAGCUCUGUUCUUAUUCUUAAUUAAUAGUGGCUAAGGUAUUGAGUUACCUAUUUAUUUUUGUUGUACAUCGGAUUUCAAUUCUGCUAUGUAAUAAAACAAUCAUGUCUUCAAUCCAAUCCUCUUCAACAUUGUGAUUGACUCCCAUAAUUUGGUUCUUAAAAAAAAUCACUAUAUUAUAUAAGGCCAGAGAUUCUUUCAAAGCAUCUUAAAAUACUUUUAACAGCCCAAAUAUUCUCAUUAGUUUCACAAAGCAGAAUUGUAUCAUCCGCAAAUUGAAGAUAGAUAGCUGAUUUCCAAUUUAUCACUCAUCCUCUGUCGGCUAUUUUCCCUGUUACUGAAAGAGAGAAAAACAUGCAGCUAUGUGCAUCAGUUUUCAAGAUCUCUCAAUAUGGAAUAUGGACAACAUGGGAUCCACGUGCAAUGCCAGGUAUAGUACUAUAAUGUUAGCAUGAUUACUGCACUUUUUCAUGGUAAUGAAACUUACUAUUGUAUUUUGAUGAGGAAUUAAUGAAGGUACCUCUGUACGUUGCGACGAAAAUGGUGUCAAGGGUAGCAUCAAUUAAGCAAAAUUCGCUGUUCAUACCAACACCUGAAGGUUAUGCAAGAGCUGCAAUUCGUGCAAUUGGGUAUGAACCAAUUUCCACACCUUACUGGGCUCACUCAAUUCAGUGGUGCUUCGCUCGCUUAAUCCCUGAUCCGCUUCUUGAUGCUUGGCGCUUGUCCAUUGGUAUGCGUCGCAGGAAUUAUAUAAAGGGACAGAAGAACUAACUGAGAGCUUACCAUUAGCGCAGUGUUUGGGCAGAGCUAGAGCUUGGCUAAUGCAUAAGUUAGUGUUUGGUGUGUGCGUGUUUUGUAUAAAAGUUCCUUCUAACUUUUGUGAAAGUUGGUUAAUUUUAGAGUGAACCGUUUAAUAAUCAUAGUGUGGAAGUUCCAACUUCUUUUAUCCAUUAUGAACUAAAAUCUUUUCUCUCAUUCUUGUGUCUUAUUUUCAGAUAGAAAUCAUCUGUUGUUCAGUCUAGUUUUGAUGACUCUUUUUCAUGCUCUACCAAGUACCACCAUUAAAAUUAAAAUUGUGGUAACGUCAUUAAGCAUAUGCAAGUGGUGGAUUUGUGGUUGUACUCCUAACAGCCUAGAUUUAGAAGAAGAAAAAGAAAGAGUCCGGGAAAAAAAUCUAACCCAAAAAAGAAAACAAAAAACAAAUUGGGCAAAGAAAGGAAAAAAAAGGUUCCGCUUGAGUACAAGUUCAAGUAGAGUAUAAUAUGUAAUAAUUAUAACGACCAAUAUCACAUCCAAUAAGCAAUGAAUUAUAAAGAAAAUAUGAUAAUAAUUAGUAAUUAAUAAAUCAAUAAGUAGGAGAAAGAAAAGGUUAUAAUUUUGCCCUUAGGUUACACAUGAGUACUAGUAUUUAUACAAAAGUGUAGCUAACUAACUUAUAAUACAAGUAACAAACUCAGCAACUAACUAUAACUGACCACAACUAUUAUUCUCACCUAUGUUUUGACUUUUACUUGCUAUUUUCAUUCUGUAUUCUCAAAGAUCUCCUUGGAGCUAGUGUUGGUUUUGUGUUUCGACCAAGCUAGAGCUCAUGAUCCGAGUGUUUACUUUCACUCUCGUCCUCCAAGUCCCCCAAGUAUAUUUCACUCUCGAACCCUUGGGGCUUAUGUGUGAAAUAUCUAACAAGAAAAAUUGACGAGCGGGUGAUUUUUCUUUAUUCCCAGAAAUAAGAGUGUACUAAGAUAACAUAUAUUAAUAUCUCAACUCCAACCGUAGAAGACUAGACAACCAAUAAUCAGUAGAAAGGCACGACAUCCUACUACCCAUAUACUGACUUGAGUUGCUAACCCCAUACCAACUUUAGCACUAGCAGGAGUUACACAGGAGACUAGACUAGGUAUAACACAUAAGCCUGCAUUAUCACUAAAACUGCACCAUACAAGUGUAGAUUUAACAACUUAAUCGUAAAGAAAGUUAAGAAAUAACAUGGAGAUACAAUGAAAUCAUAAUUAAACUUGGGAUUUGGAAAAUCAGUCCUUCUAGAGUAGCAGGGACCCUUCAAGACAAGGAGUUGCCAUUAAGGUUCCUGCAUAAGUAUUUUUUUUAAUACAAACCUCUAGUUUUCUUAUUUGUCUUAUUCAAGUUCAAGUAGUCAUGGGCCUAUGAGAUUUAGGUUCACAUAAAAUGAGUAGGUUCCGCUUGAGUAAAGUUCAAGUAGAGUAUAAUAUGUAACAAUUAUAACGAUCAAUAUCACAUCCAAUAAGCAAUGAAUUGUAAAGAAAGUAGGAUAAUAAUUAUUAAUUAAUAAAUCAAUAAGUAGGAGAAAGAAAAGGUUAUAAUUUAGACCUUAGGUUACACAUGAGUACUAGUAUUUAUACAAGAGUGUAGCUAACUAACUUAUAAUACAAGUAACAAACUCAGCAACUAACUAUAACUGUCCACAACUAACUAUAACUGCCCACAACUAGUAUUCUCACCUAUGUUUUGACUUUUACUUGCUCUUUUGAUUCUGUAUUCUCAAAGAUCUCCUUGGAGCUAGUGUUGGUUUUGUGUUUCGACCAAGCUAGAGCUCAUGAUCCGAGUGUUUACUUUCACUCUCGUCCCCCAAGUAUAUUUCACUCUCGAACCCUUGGGGCUUAUGUGUGAAAUAUCUAACAAGAAAAAUUGACGAGCUGGUGAUUUUUCUUUAUUCCCAGAAAUAAGAGUGUACUAAGAUAACAUAUAUUAAUAUCUCAACUCCAACUGUAGAAGACUAGACAACCAAUAAUCAGUAGAAAGGCACGACAUCCUACUACCCAUAUACUGACUUGAGUUGCUAACCCCAUACCAACUUUAGCACUAGCAGGAGUUACACAGGAGACUAGACUAGGUAUAACACAUAAGUCUGCAUUAUCACUAAAACUGCACCAUACAAGUGUAGAUUUAACAACUUAAUCGUAAAGAAAGUUAAGAAAUAACAUGGAGAUACAAUGAAAUCAUAAUUAAACUUGGGAUUUGGAAAAUCAGUCCUUCUAGAGUAGCAGGGACCCUUCAAGACAAGGAGUUUCCAUUAAGGUUCCUGCAUAAGUAUUUUUUUUAAUACAAACCUCUAGUUUUCUUAUUUGUCUUAUUCAAGUUCAAGUAGUCAUAGGCCUAUGAGAUUUAGGUUCACAUAAAAUGAGCAGGUUUCGCUUGAGUAAAGUUCAAGUAGAGUAUAAUAUGUAACAAUUAUAACGACCAAUAUCACAUCCAAUAAGCAAUGAAUUGUAAAGAAAAUAGGAUAAUAAUUAUUAAUUAAUAAAUCAAUAAGUAGGAGAAAGAAAAGGUUAUAAUUUAGACCUUAGGUUACACAUGAGUACUAGUAUUUAUACAAGAGUGUAGCUAACUAACUUAUAAUACAAGUAACAAACUCAGCAACUAACUAUAACUGCCCACAACUAACUAUAACUGCCCACAACUAGUAUUCUCACCUAUGUUUUGACUUUUAAUUGCUCUUUUGAUUCUGUAUUCUCAAAGAUCUCCUUGGAGCUAGUGUUGGUUUUGUGUUUCGACCAAGCUAGAGCUCAUGAUCCGAGUGUUUACUUUCACUCUCGUCCCCCAAGUAUAUUUCACUCUCAUACCCUCGGUGCUUAUGUGUGAAAUAUCUAACAAGAAAAAUUGACGAGCGGGUGAUUUUUCUUUAUUCCCAGAAAGAGUGUACUAAGAUAACAUAGAUUAAUAUCUCACCUCCAACCGUAGAAGACUAGACAACCGAUAAUCAGUAGAAAGGCACGACAUCCUCCUACCCAUAUACUGACUUGAGCUGCUAACCCCAUACCAACUUUGGCACUAGCAGGAGUUACAAAGGAGACUAGACUAGGUAUAUCACAUAAGCCUGCAUUAUCACUAAAACUGCAUCAUACAAGUGUAGAUUUAACAACUUAAUCGUAAAGAAAGUUAAGAAAUAACAUGGAGAUACAGUGAAAUAAUACUUAAACUUGGGAUUUGGAAAAAUCAGUCCUUCUAGAGUAGCAGGGAUCCUUCAAGACAAGGAGUUGUCAUUAAGGUUCCUGCAUAAGUAUUUUUUUAAUACAAACCUCUAGUCUUCUUAUUUGUCUUAUUCAAGUUCAAGUAGUCAUAGGCCUAUGAGAUUUAGGUUCACAUAAAAUGAGCACACUGAGGUUCUGCUUAAGUACAAGUUCAAGUAGAGUAUAAUAUGUAACUAUUAUAACGACCAAUAUCACAUCCAAUAAGCAAUGAAUUAUAAAGAAAAUAGGAUAAUAAUUAGUAAUUAAUAAAUCAAUAAGUAGGAGAAAGAAAAAGUUAUAAUUUAGACCUUAGGUUACACAUGAGUACUAGUAUUUUUACAAGAGUGUAGCUAACUAACUUAUAAUACAAGUAACAAACUCAGCAACUAACUAUAACUGCCCACAACUAGUAUUCUCACCUAUGUUUUGACUUUUACUUGCUCCUUUGAUUGUGUAUUCUCAAAGAUCUCCUAGGAGCUAGUGUUGGUUUUGUUUUUCGACCAAGCUAGAGCUCCUGAUCCGAGUGUUUACUUUCACUCUCGUCCCCCAAGUAUAUUUCACUCUCGUACCCUUAGGGCUUAUAUGUGAAAUAUCUAUAAGAAAAAUUGAGGAACGGGUGAUUUUUCUUUAUUCCCAGAAAUAAGAGUGUACUUAGAUAACAUAUAUUAUUAUCUCACAUCCAACCGUAGAAGACUAGACAACCGAUAAUUAGUAGAAAGGCACGACAUCCUCCUAUUCAAGAUGUCCCUCUUUGCUAGAGAGGGCAGAAUAAAAUAGGAUUUCAAAGACUUGAGUUCUUGAUCAAUGCAGCAUAAAUAAACCAUAGAUUACAAAGUGUUAAACUAUUUAUCUUGCCUUUUUAAUUGUUCUUUUUAAUUGACCAUUCUCGUUCCUUAUGCUUAUUUUACUAUUACAACACAGAAACUUAUCUAGUAACCAAAUUCAUGAUGCAUUCCGGCUUCAAUUGGAACAAUAACUAUUUUACAAGUUUUAUAAGUGACUUCUUGUUCUCGCUCUUCUUAGUGUUAUAGUUUUGGAAAGUAACGAGAGAGUGAAAGAGAAGAUUUUUAGGGAAAUAAUAUUUUUUUGUUUAUAACUUGGAGCAAUACAUGUUUUAUAUAGAAAACAUAAAAGACCUAGCUGCGGUUGAAAACGCCGCAGAUUGCAUACUCCAUUUCGACUCUAUUUUACGGUGGUUUUAACCGCCGCUAGAUACUAAUUAUUUUUUCUUCAUGAUCGCUUCUAUUGCGAAUUAAUACAUAAAAGUUCAUUACUUUCAUAUAAUUUAACACAGCACAGUGCCUAUGACUAACAAAUUCCAAUUUCGACUGUAUAUAUAGGAGCAACCAUUUUCAUCUGAAGUUAAAUAAUGAAUAUACAAAGUUGGAGGCCUCAAACUCCUCAAAACAGAAUGCAAAACUGUUUAACAAAUUUACUAAUUUCGUCUAGACAUUUGCAUGUCAAAACUAGAAACAAAUUAUAACAAUCAAGUCUGUUAAUGACCACAAUUCAUUAGCAUACAAGUGAUCUUUCCUAUUUUUCUAAAAAAGACAUCAUCAUGAAUAGCAAGAACAAUUCUUGUUAGUGAAAAACAAAUUGCAUAGUUAUCAUGAUUAUUAAGUUGUGAUUGCCUAAUGUCCAUACAGCAAACCUGAAAGCAGAGUUGACAUUGUUACAAACACUGUAAGAUUGCUUGGACUUUUAACUUGAAUAAGACAAAUAAGAAGACUGGAGGUUUGUAUUAAAAAAAAUACUUAUGCAGGAACCUUAAUGGCAAAUUCUUGUCUGGAAGGGUCUAGAAGGACUGAUGUUUCCAAAUCCCAAGUUCAAGUAUGAUUUCAUUGUAUCUCCAUGUUAUUUUUUAACUUUCUUACGAUUAAUGUGUUAAAUCUACACUUGUAUGCUGCAAUUUUAGGGAUAAUGCAGGCUUAUGUGUUAUACCUAGUCUAGUCUCCUAUGUAACUCCUGCUUGUGCUAAAGUUGGUAUGAGGUUAGCAGCUCGAGUCAGUAUAUGGGUAGGAUGAUUUAUUGCCUUUCUACUGAUUAUUGGUUGUCUAGUCUUCUACGGUUGGAGAUUAGAUAUUAAUAUAUGUUAUCAUAGUACACUCUUAUUUCUGGGAAUAAGGAAAAAUCACCCGCUCGUCAAUUUUUCUUGUUAAAUAUUUCACACAUAAGCCCCAAGGGUACGAGAGUGAAAUACACUUGGGGGACUUGGGGGCGAGAGUGAAAGUGAACACUCGGAUCAUGAACUCUUGGUCAAAACACAAAACCAACAACAGCUCCACGGAGAUCUUUGAGAAUACAGAAUCAAAAGAGCAAAUAAAAGUCAAAACAUAGGUGAGAAUAGUAGUUGUGGUCAGUCAUAGUUAGUUAUUGAGUUUGUUACUUGUAUUACAAGUUAGUUAGCUACACUCUUGUAUAAAUACUAGUACUCAUGUGUAACCUAAGGUCUAGAUUAUAACCUUUUCUUUUUCCUACUUAUAGAUUUAUUAAUUACUAAUUAUUAUCAUAUUUUCUUUAUAAUUCAUUGCUUAUUGGAUGUAAUAUUGGUCGUUAUAAUUGUUACAUAUUAUACUCUACUUGAACUUGUACUCAAGCGAAACCUCAAUGUGCUCAUUUUAUGUGAACCUAAAUCUCAUAGGCCCAUGACUACUUUUUUUUCCUUUCUUAGCCCAAUUUGUGUUUUCUUUUCUUUUUUCGAUUAGAUUUUUUCCCGGGCUCUUUCUUUUUCUUCUUCUAGCCAAAUCACCCAAACACUUCUUUUGGUAACAGAGGAAUGAACACACUAACAGAAAACCAAACUUCAAUUAAUCUUUUCCUGAUUAUCCUCCUCCCUAUAACUUUUGGUUGGACACAAUCGACAUUGAUGAGAUAGCAAAAAAGAGAUUUUAAAGAAUGGAGGAAAUUUAUUGCAACUUUUUACCAAAUCAUAGGUACAUGACCAAAAUCUAGAUUCAAUUUUCUUCAAAUGCAUAAAGGUUACUACAAAAGAUACACGCCAGAAAAUAUUGUCAAAGUCAAAUCUGAAGAGGGUACUUCACUAUACUCAAUGUAUUCGGUCUGUCGAAGGUCAAACAAUUUAAAUGCAACUGUAUGACAAAAUUGAAAAUUAAAGUUUAUCAUGAAUCAUAGUCAAGUUGCAAACAGAUUCUACUUGCCACCAUUUCUAAAAAGUGCAAGUUGGAACUCCUUCGCCACAAUGAAGUAUUUAGCAUUUAUAAUUUCUAUUUUAUCAAAAUGUUACUAAAUUCUGAUGACAUCAGUAAUAUAAACAAGGCUUAAUUGCACAUUUAGUCCCCCACUUCUACACUUCCUACAAUUUUGGUCCCCAACAAAAUUUAAUUGCAUUUUAGGACCCCCAACGUUGUUCUCCGUUAGCAAUUUUGGUCUUCCGUCCAAUUUCUAGCGGAAAUGCUGACGUGGCAUUCAUAAAUAAUAUUUUAAUUGAAAAAAAUUAAUUUCCUUAAUUAAACUAUUUUCAUAUUGAAAAAAAAAAGAGAAAACGAAUCAAUGCAUCACAUCUUCUUCUUUCUUGUUUCUUCUUCUUAAUUACCCAACCACCAUCUUCAGCCUCAAGCCCUCAUUCACACACCACCAUCGCCACUCCCAUGUCACGACACUCCUCCUCCUCCUCUUCGUAUUCUUCUUCUUCUCACCACGCACCACCAUCCAAAUCGCCUCUACUUGGAACCCAAAUCGUCCUCUCAUAGCAUCAUCUUCUUGCAAAACCUUGAUGAUCAAAUCAGGUCCCAGAUCUUAAAGAUCACAACAUUGAGCAUUGUGUUGUGGGUCGGUGGAGCUCCAAUGAGAUUCGAAGAGCUGGUUCGACGAUGGCCUUUGCGGUGGCCAGAACCUUCGAUGGUGGUGUCACUGUCGUGGAGAAGAAUCCCGAUUUGAUUCAGAUGGAGGUGUGAUUCAGAUGAGGGUCAAAUGGGUUCUGAAAAAGUUUGAAGCUUUAGGGUGUGUUUGGAGAGUUUGAUGGCUGAAAUGGGUUGAAAAAAUGAUGAAUCUGAAUGUUAAUUUGUGCUUCAAAGGUUGAUCUAAAUGUUGGGUCGGUGGGGGGUGUUUUCGAUUGGUUAAGAUGGGGGUGGAGGGGUGGUGCGGUGGUUGAGUGGUGGUGGUGCUUGGGUGGUUGAGUGGUGGUGUUGUGGUGCGCAGGUGGUGGUUGAAUGGAAGAAGAUGAUGGGGUUUAUUUUCCUUUCCUUUUUUUUCAAUAAAGAAAAUAGUUUAAUUAAAGAAAUUAAUUUAUUUCAAUUAAAAUAUUAUUUAUGAAUGCCACAUCAGCAUUUCCGUUAGAAAUUGGACAGAAUUGGGACGGAAGACCAAAGUUGCUAAUGGAGAACAAUGUUGGCCGUUAAAAUAUAAUAUAAAACCAUUAAAGUGACCCUUACCCAACAGCUUAGCUUUUGGGAUUAAGUGGUUAUUUGAUUUGGUAUCAGAGCCUCUAUGACCGAGAGGUCUAGAGUUCGAUCCUUACUCCCCUCACUUUCUAAUUAAAAAGUGAAAUUUAAUUAAGCACAUGGUAGGUGGGCUUGUGCAUUUAUCCACGCUUCAAGCCCAAAGGCUCUUGCGUGAGGGGGGUGUUAGAAUAUAAUAUAAAAUCAUUAAAGUGACCCUUACCCAACAGCUUAAGCUCUUGGGAUUAAGUGGUUAUUUGACAUGUUGUUGGGGUUCUAAAAUGUAACUAAAUUUUGUUGGGGACUAAAAUUGUGAAAAAUGUAAAAGUGGGGGACCAAAUGUGCAAUUAAGCCUAUAAACAAAAUCAUGGCUAGUUGUAACACAUGAAAAAGUUAUAAUGUCAACAACAAAUUAAACACAUUGUAUCUACCAAAAGCAGUGCAAACUUUGAUUUUGUACCAAAACUUUACACAAUUAAGACUAAUAGUUUGAUCAUCGUAAUUUUUGUAAAACUUGUUCUAGGGAGAGAAGUUACCUUGGGGAUUUUGAAUUUAUUGUAGACAUCUUGAAGGACCUUGUUGUUCUGAAUCAUUUCCUACUCAUUACUACCACGAUUUGUUCAUAUUCCUUUGGCAUCAGUUUUGAAAAAGAGGGGAGAUAAUACCUAGAAUUUUAUUAAACAAAACCAUCAUAAAAAAUCUGAAAAGGACAAACAGAGAUUUACAAUAUCAAUGAGUAAUAUAGUAAACUGGGCAAAUGAUAAGAAUCCCUAAGAAUCAAGUAAAACACCUAAACUAGUAAAACCAAAUCCAUAUUUGAAUAAUAGUUGAGUAAUUCUAGUUUGUAUUCGAACCAGCCUUAGACUGUUUUUGAACUAAAACCCACAUUUUUUAUUAAUUGUCACAUUUGUUUACUAUUCUUUCUUAACGGGCUUACCAUUAUAUUUAUUAUUAGGAUAUUUAAGACACAAGUUUAAAGUGAUGGACAUUAGUGCUAUUGCUAUUUCCUAUGUAAACAAAAAAAAAAGUGAGAAUCAAUGACAUAUUUUUUCUUUGCAUUGAAAAAUGUGUGUUAUAACAAUUUUAGGAUAUAAUAACAACAUAUAAAUGUGAUAAAUUUCCUUAGAAAAACUAAUAAUCAAUAAUCAAUUAAAAGUACUAAAAGAAUAAAUUCAUUUUUUUAGGAGAAAGAUUUACGAAAAGAUCAAAUCUAAAACAUAAAAAAGCGUAAUAGUUAUUAGUGCGAAAGUUUCAUUGGAUGAAAUGCAAGGGAGAAAUAGGUUCUUAUAUUUUUCUUACACUUUGAAGAUUAAUUAGUUUAAUUUUUACUUUUUUUGUUAUAUAUAUAUAUAUUUCUACUAAACAUAAUUUAAUUUAUGUAUUGAAAUUCAGUCUCCAACUAUAACAAUUUUUUUUACUUGGUCCCCCAAAAUUUAUCUCCUGGUUCCGCCACUAGUCCACUACUAGUGGCCUUUACGUGUUACCGAAUUCUUCCACCGUUAGAAUGAAAAAAGUCAAAAAACUGAUCACCUAUGAACAAUGACUUUUGUGUAAAAAAAAAACAAUGACUUUUACUUUACAUUCAAUACAAGUUGACCACAUUUAUUUUGUUGUUUUUUACUUCAAUACUCAAUAGAGAAAACCCCCUGAAAUAUAUAAUUUGCAUUAUAUUAAACUCUACAUUAUAAUCAUAUUUGCAAGAAAGAGGGUCCAAAAAUUCUUAAUUAAUAAAGAAAGGAAAGCAAACAGUGGUAUUCAAAACGCAAGUUCUAAUUGUGACGUCCCUAAAAGUGUGGACGUAUGAUAACAGUUGGUUCAGGUGGUAUUUUUUUUAUAAGCAAAUCAAAUAUAGUAAUAGAAGUACAAUGAUACUUUAACUCAAUAUAAAAAGAAGAGUAGUAAGUGAGGAAGAAAUUACAACUCAAAUCCACUUUAGAGAUCCCCGGAGGCAAGACUUUUAAAAACAUGUCUCGUUAAAACCUUACAAGAAAAACCUCAUUGAAAAAAACAUUUUGAAAGAAAAAAAGAGUGAUGCUAACUUUACUCUUUAGAGUGAUUUCAGAGCUUAAUUCGAGAAAUAUAACACUCAAUGAGAGCUUGCCCAUAUCUAAUAUUUUCAUUUUUUUUGAUAAGCCAAAUGUGUAUUAUAAAUAGAGGUACAAGGGGUACCACAACCCAUAAUACAAAAUAGAGUGCACUACAAAUAGAGAAAAGUAAAAACAGGACAGCAACCAAAUAGAAAGCCAGACAUCAGGCAAAAAAACACAAAAUGAAAACAAAGCAGAAAGCUCUCAAUCAUUUGUAUUGUAUACCACCAAGUUCAUUCAAAAUGUCCAAAUGCCAACACAUCACCAUGCUGCUACCUUAGCAUCCGUUCCAGCAAAAUCCCCACUCUGCAACCACCUCAGAAUUUCGUAUUUCACAUACCAGCAACACAUAAGGAAGGAUGGGCAAACCAUUCAUAAAAAGAGCAGCUAAAGCCUUUUAGAUUAGCUUUAUUCCAUUGCCAAGAGCGCCGCUGAAUCAGAUCAAAAGUCCCAGACACAUCCACCAGUUUUCCUCUAAAAGCACAGUCAUUCCUGAGGAGCCAGAGGGACCAAAUAGUUGCCAACCAGAUUGAGAACAUACCUCUCUGUUGGUAUUUAUUUCUCCCAAAUUUAAAAUGGUUCAAGUGAUCGCGAGAGGACAAGUGGAUUACAACAGAACACCCAACCCAUCCAUAGCAGCGCUUCCACACUUCCCUGGAAAAAGAGCAAUCAAAGAGAAGAUGGAAACUUGUUUCAUCUACAUUUCUGCAGAAGAAACACUUAGCCUCACCAUGUGGAAGAGGGACCUGACGCCUCCUCAAGCAAACCAGAGAGGCAAUUCGAUCCAACAUAACCCUCCAAGCGAAUGCCUUCACCUUCUAAGGAGCAGAUGAAUUCCAGAUCACCAGGAGAAUUGGAUCUUGAGGGGGCAACGAUGGUUCCUGUAAGAAACAAUAAGAGGAUUGGACAGAAUAAUUCCCAUCAGCACUUGGAAGCCAUGUCCACUUAUCCGGAACACCUUGCUGGAGUUGAACAGUAGCAACAUCACGAAGCAAGGAUUGCUCCCACAACAGCUCACGGCCUCUAAGCGGACGACGCCACUUGAACUUCCAAUGCCAAGACCUGUUAAUCCACUCACCACAAUCACUCACACUUGCCAAUUUCAGGUAGGAAAGAUUAUACAAUCGAUGGUAUUUCGACACUAAGCUUUCAGCUCCAGCCCACGGUUCCCACCAAAAUGGAGUGUCAUUCCCUUCCUUAAUAGCUUUAGACGAGCCAGCAUCAAUCCAGCUAACUCCAUCCACCCUACAGGCAUCAUUCAGAUCACGCCACCAAGGUGAAGGCUGAGAACACGUACCUGAAAAAUAUUUUGCUUUAAUUACUCGGCACCAUAGGCUUUUCGGAUCAGUCCGCAGCCUCCAAAGCCACUUCCCAAGCAAAGAUUUAUUAAACAACUUCAGAUCUUUUAUUCCUAACCCUCCCACCUCCUUUGGCAUACAAAUUGAAUGCCAUUUGACCCAAGCAAUCUUACUAACAUCCUCCGAGCCACCCCACAGAAAACGUCUCAUAAUCCCUGAGCAAAUACUUUCAACACCUGCAGGCAGCUUGAGAAAAGAAAGGUAGAAUAGUGGCAAGGCUGAGAGCACGCUUUGGAUUAAACAGACCCUACCACCAAAUGAGAUAGUUUUAGAGCGCCAAGCUGAUAGCUUUCCCCUAAACUUCUUAAUAACCGGCUCCCAAGUCUCCUUACGGCUUGGGCAACCCCCAAUUGGGACUCCUAGGUAAGUAAAUGGUACAGUCAUCGUCCUGCACUGUAAAAUUGAAGCAAGCUGAUUAGAAACAGAUACCGGGACAGCAAUCGAGGCUAACUUACUUUUGUUGAAGUUAACUUUGAGGCCCGAGAUCAAUUCAAAACAUCUUAACACGCAUUUCAGCACCACCAUAUUCUGGACCGUCGCCUCUCCCACAAACACCGUGUCAUCAGCAAAUUGUAACAAAGACACUUCACAAUCAGCGGACCCACCAACCUUAUAGCCAACAAAUUUACUCAAAGCAACAGCAUUAAGAAACAGCCCAUUCAACCCUUCAGCUAUAAUCAAGAAGAGGAAAGGAGCAAUGGGGUCUCCUUGCCGGAUUCCCCUUUCCAUCCGAAACUCAGCACUUGGGCUUCCAUUCACUAAGACCGAUACUGAGGCAGACUGAAGGCAUCCAUGGAUCCAUUUAAUCCAACGAGGAUGGAAGCCCAUUCGUCUCAUCAUGUAAAAAAGGAACUCCCACUCCACCGAGUCGUAGGCUUUUUCAAAGUCUACCUUAAAGAUACUGGUUGCCCUUCGCUUAUACUUAGCUUCAUGGACAACUUCAUUAAGAACCACUGCACUAUCCAACAUAUGGCGACCUCCAAUGAAGGCAGAUUGUCGCUCAUCAAUAAUCUUCCCCAUAACAGGUUUCAGCCUAUUUGUCAGCAGCUUCGAGAUCACUUUGUAGAUACAUCCAAUAAGGGAUAUUGGCCUGAAAUCAUUAAGAGACUGAGGGGAAUUGAUUUUAGGAAUGAGAGCAAUAAAGGAUGCAUUGGAUCCUUUCGGCCAAACUCCACGCUGCCAAAACUCCUUAACAGUCUUCAGGAAAUCAACUUUUAGGACAGGCCAAAACUUCUGAACAAAUUUAAAGUUAAAGCCAUCGGGUCCUGGGCUUUUAUCACCCCCACAAUCCCACACGGCAUCCCUAACUUCACAGUCGCUGAAAGGUUCAAUCAAAGCUGAGUUAUCAGCAGCAGAAAGGGAUUUAAAUUGCACUCCAUCAAGAGUUGGACGAAUCCAAGAAUCUGACUUAAAUUUCUCAGCAAAAAAAUGGUGGACCGCUUCCUUCACCCUUGCUGGCUGAUCUUCCCAGAUACCAUCAACCAUCAAACCGACAAUAGAAUUGGCACGUCGCUUCCAAUUAAUCGUAGAAUGAAAGAAGCUGGUGUUCUGGUCACCUUCAGAAAUCCAUCUAGUCCGGGCCUUUUGAAACAGUAAGGAUUCAUGAUACCGCAGAACCAUCCAGAACUCAACCAUGAGUUCUCUCCUAUUAUAACAAAGGAGUUGUCUAAAUGACCCAAGAAAAAUUUGGGUUGAAUAACAUAUCAUCCAAUCACAUUGAAGAUAAGUGAGUUGGAAUUUUUAUAUUUUAUUUAUUAAUUUAUUUUCAACUCACUUAUCUCCAAUAUGAUUGAAUGAUGAGUUAUUUAACCGAAACUUCCUCAUAGGUCAUUUAGACAACCCCUAUAACAAAACAUGCACUCAGAUUAAGUUGUCGUAGUGCUAAAUCACUAAUGUGAAAUCUUAACCCUAGUAUUAAUAUUUAAUCACUUGUUUUCCGCUUUCUCUGGAGUCUUCUUAAAUCGCAACCACUAAGGCACUAACAAUGAACUACAGAGGAAACAACGACAACUCACUCGCAAUAUUCCAUUAAAAAUAUUCUGUUAUGUUACGUACUGUCUUAUGUUUCUUAAAAUAUAUGCUUGAGUUCUUCAACUUUGUAAUUAAAUAUUUGUGCUUUUCAAAUUACGUGCUAUAUUAUCCUCAUCUAAACAAAUUCACAAGCCUCAUGUGUUGGUCUGAGUGAAAGGAGCUCAGAUCUCUUAAACAUGUGGUCAAGCAUUGGUCCCUACUUUAAUACGUGACAUUCAUGUAGGAAAUUAAUCUUUCACCUAUUAAGUAGUGGAAGGAUACUAGAAAUCGGAAAAGAAUAAAAGAACAAAUUCACAGGCACAAUAAGCUUAUUUUGAAAGUAAAAAACUGCAUACUCCAUCAUCCACCACUAACGUAGCAUUCAACUUGUUCAAACAACAAAACAAUGUACACACUUAAUUUAUAAGAUCCAUUCAAAUUUACCCAGAACACAUAACUAAAGAAAGAAGAGAGAGGGAAUAACCACCGUUUGAUAAAGGGAAAAUAAAAAGAAAAGAAAAAGUAAAAACAGAGAGGGAGAGAAAGUAGUUACAAACGGUUAACGAUUUGUUUGCAGUUUAUGUUUCUUUCGAAACGCAACCUCCGUGUCCAAUCCGAAACCAUCAACGGUGCGGACAUGAACCAAAACUGAUUUGUUAAAAAGCUCUACGAGAGGCUGCACGCUGUAGAGGUCGUUAGCGGAGUACUUAUCGGCGCGACGCGAAAGCGCCACGUGCAGCACGCACACACCGUCAGGCUUCAACGUGCGUUCAAUCUCUGCUACAAACCGCUGUGGGUACAAUGCGUGAUCAAACACGUUGGAGAAUUCAAAAUCAAACAUCUCAUCACCAAACGGUUGGUGGUGAAAGUCACCCUUCACCACCAAUGGCGGGUAGGGGACCAAGUCGAUUCCUACAGAAUCAACCACACCUACCCGCCGUAGGGCCUCCACCUCCUGACCCACGCGUGCGCCAAUGCAGAGGGCCUUGGAGGUGUUUUGUAGAAGGCUCUUGUCCUUGAGGUCUUCGAAGAACCGCGCAAAGACGGGGAUCUUCCGGUUCCAGUCGCGGGUGGUCCAUAUCUUUCGGAGCCUUGGGUUGAGGGUCUUGUUGAGCUGGCGUUGUAUGUAGGUCUCGUAGGAGGUGUAACCGGGUCGGAUUGUGAGAUCUUUUGUUGUGGAAUGAGAAUGUUGAGGUUGUUGUUGUUGUUGUGGAGAGAAUAGAUGGAGGAAGAGGAAAGGGAGGGACAGGAAGAGUGAGAUGAGGAAGCAUCUUAGGAUGAAUGGUUUUGUGAGCGUGAGUUUCAUAUCCGUGUAAAAUGCUUAUGGUUGAUGAUGUAGUUAUGCUCAGUUUGCAUUGUUAUUUUGGUUUUUGUGUUUUGGAUGGUGUGGGAGAAAUGGGGGCCAUGAAAAGUUCUGGAAACAGAAAUUUGAAACACAAAAAUGAGAGAGAAGAAAAACUAAACCAAUAUAAUGAAACGAAAUUUCAGUGAAUUAAAGCGGAAAAAGGUGAUAGAUAGUUAGAUACGUCGUUUGUGAUGAUUAUUAUGAAAAUUGGCAAAGAAGGAAGUACGCGUGGUGCGCAGUGCGCGCAUGCAAAGAAUCAAGGUGGCACUAUUUUUGUGUGUAUACUGUAUAAGCUUCAUUUUGCGUUGUGAAUUUGUUAACUUUAAGCCUCACUUUUCCGUACAUCGAUUGAUAGCAUGUAGAAUAAUACGAAUUCACGUUGAUUACAGAGCGCUUUAACGGGUAGGAGGGAAAAGAAAAAGGGAUUAAUUAAAUAAAAGUAUUAAUGGGUCCAAACUGAGCCAGCAAAUUAAGUGAUAAAUGGUUGGACAAAGCCAUGAUUAUAGGGAGAGUGAGGAGAAGUAAGGAACAAGUCAAAGUGAAAUUAAUCAACGUGAUCAUGGUUAUAUAAGGUUGCCGUCCCAUUCAAAUAAUAUAAAAAACUAAAAAGGUUAAUCAAUAUUUUUUUUUUUGAGUAAAGGUUAAUCAAUAUAUUGAAAACAUAUUAACCAAAAAAAAAAUAUUGAAAACAUAUGUGUUUAGCUGUUUGACCGCUAUUGUUAUUGUGGAUUUCUAAACCAUCAAUUUUUUUUUUAAAUGCACCGUAGAUUGUGAUGGUAAAAAACCAUCACAUCUACUAAAUUGCCUUAAAGGCUUAAAUUAUCAUAUAUCGGAUGAAUUUCGCUCCAUCUUUAUGUUCACUAAAUAUUACCAAAUUUUAUACAGUGAAUAUUGACAGGCUGAACAAAAAUUGGAAUAGGGACACUCCAAUGCAAGGGAAAGUAUCAAAUAUGAUCAUGUGAGGUCAAAUUAAACUUGACUUAUUAGGGCAGAAACUACAUGCAUGUGAUUACAAAAUUCCAAUGAAUAUGUUCAAGCUGCAUGCAUGACUCUUCUGAUAGGUUCGCCAAUCACCAUGCAUAUAUAUGUUGCAUCGUUACAGUUAUUACAGUUACAUUCAUUGGUUAUCUGCGGCCAUAGCAAUGGGAUCAGUAUCUCACCCAAUCUUUAAUCGGCACUCCUCCCAAUCUUGCCAUGAACGAAGCAAGAUUUUGUAAUCUUCUAGUUUAACCUUUGUUUGGACUGAAAAAUGUAAAAGAAGAAAAACACGAAAUCUGAAAAAAUAAAACUAAAACUUAUUAUUUGAAAAACAAAACGAGAAAAGGAAAUCUUACACCCAAGCAAUUAAAAUAGUUUUGUAAUUUCAAAUUUUUGAAUUUUCCUCUUUUACAUUUUAAUUUUAAUGUUCAGUACAAUUCCAUCCCCCGACAUCUAACAAUCUAAUUUUCAAUUAAAAAGAUUUGUUAUUUCGCAUUUGUAAGUUUCCCUCUUUUACAUUUUAAUUGAGUAAAUACUAAAUAGGUAAUUCAGUCCUGAAUUUUUUUUGGUGCUUAUUAGUCUUUGGGAAAAAAAAACUUUGUAAGUCCACGAAUGCGUAAAUUGCCACUAACAUACAUUAGUAAAAGUAACCAAGAAGUAUAUUUGGGCACUUACUCCACUACAACAAAUCGCGUAAUUAUUGACGGUCAAAAAACCGUUACAAAAAAUCUCACUUUACUUGUUCUUCUAAUAUGCCAAAAACUAGGCUUCGUUGGGCUAGCUUUCUAAGGCUCAAGUCUCUUAAACGUACUUUGAGCCUGAAUUUGACAUAUUAGUCUGAAAUAAGACAUUUUUACGGUAUAGUAUGACCCAUUUUAAAGUUCGGUCAGCUUAAAAACCUACUUAAAAUGUUAAUUUAUAAUGAGUAUUCAAAUGAACAAUAAGUUUUUCUCUAAAUUGACAAACAUGUUAUAGGUUCAAAAGUCUUUUGAAAAUGGCCCAAAUCUGACUUUUUUUUUAGUUAAAUGUUCUUUAUAAAAAAAAUAUAGGUUAUGUUUAUUUAGUUGAGAUGUUUUUGCUGUGUUCACCUAAUCAUCUUCAUGACCCAGGCCUUGGUCGCUUUGGUCUUGGUAUUGGAUAAAUGGACUUUUGAACCAAAAAAAAAGAUAAAUGGACUAUUUUCAGGCGUUGAAUGCUGAAGUUUAAACCUAGCCCGUUACACUUGCUCUUGAAAUGAAUAACAGAACCCAAAAAUCUUGACCCUUCAUGUGGUAAAUUUUCUCAUUAAUUGUGACAGAACACACACAAAAACAUUGAUUCACCUUGAAUUACAUAUAUUUCUCUUUCUUAAACUCACCUAAUUACUUUAAAUCAUAUCAUAAUUAAGACCCUCCCUAUAUAUGAAGUGAAGGGGCCUAAGUAAAGAUUGUCACACAUUCUCAUAAAAGAGUCAUACAUGUAUAUAGUAAAGAUGUUGAAAUACCACAAAUUCAACAAACAAUACUAACUAUGUCAUUUUUGUUCCCACAAAACGAGCACAUUCCCAUUAUAAUCAAACUAAAAAGGGUUAGACACCAAUGGUUUUCCUCACACUUCGCAUCACCUUGUAUCCUAUAAGAACCCUUCCUUGCAAAAUCUUAAUCUCCGCAUCCACCACAAUAUCAACCCUUUCCUUGCAGCGUUUCUCUAUCUCUCUUGUUGUAGCUAGAGAAAAACUGCACGCGCCUCUCAUCCUUAUAACAAACAAAACCAAAAAUAUUUUCUAUCAGAAUGGCACGUGCACGCUAUGUUGUGGUUCUUGCCUUUGUCAUGUUCGCCAUCAUUGGCAUCGCACGUGCCGCCGAGGCACCCUCCACCAACGAGUCCGACUACGAAGAAGAUGACACUGAGUUCAUGAUCGGAACUAAGGGUGGCGACGCUCCUUCACCCGGCACUGUUGUCGCCGCUCCCAUCGGUGGGCCCGUGCCUCCCGGUGCCUUCGACAAUGCUAAUGCUCAGGCUGAGGCACCCGCUUCCGCCGCCUCUUCCCUCCACCAAGUUUCAGCUGUUGCCGGAGCUGCCACCGCCGCUCUCGCCGGCUUCUUCUACUUCUAAUUGAUUCUGAUCGUUUGGUUCAGCAAUGCAUGCUAAGAUAGAGAGGAAUAGGAUUAAUGUUUAUAUCUGUUUCUUCUCGAUCGCACGUGCAUGCGUGUUGUUUUUUUAAUUUGGACAUGUAAUCGUCAAGUUUGUUUGGUUAUGAAACCCAACUAAUCAACGAUUUUUUUCAUGCUAAUAUAUAUGAUCAUGCUUGAAUAAAAGAAGCUUAAUUGAUAAUAACUACUCAGUUUUUAACGUUGAGAGUUGUUUAUGGUACCUUAUUUUUGUUUAGAUUUAGAAUAAAGCUUCAAACAUCAUUGGACACACACGUUGAAGCUUAAUUUGUUUAGUUGGGAAACACCGUUUUAGAAAGUCAAAUAUAACAGACUUGUGAAUUACAUCUAACCAAAAUGAUAAAGAUUGAAACCAGAAUGAUGUGAAGAGCAAAUAUUGGCAAUAAGUGAGAAAAAGUUUGUAUUAUUUAUUACUCACUAACUCAUGAUUCAGAUGAAAGGUGUUAGUAAGCUCGCUUGAUGAUUUAAGUGAUUCAUUUUAACUCAUACGCAAGCAUUAUGGUUUCAAUUUAAAGGAGAUCAUCAAAACCUUCAUGUACACAAUUUAUUCCAGUGUUCUAUAAUCAUGAAUGGACAUCAUUUAUUUCUUACAUUUAGUAGUUACUCACGUACAUAAGAGUAGUGAGAUGUCAAGACCUCACACAUGGGAAAAUGGGAAAUGGAACAAGCUACUUGAAUAGAAGUGGGAUUUUGUGCUGUAAAAAUGGUAAAACCUUCAUUCCUUCAACCACCUUCACUAACAGAAAAUUUGCUACUAGAAGAAGAGUAGUUAUUAUUUCAAAAAUAUUGGGAGAAUAAGUUCAAGAUACAAGACAGUAAAUAUCACAAAUCAUGAAUAGUCAAUAUAUUGUACAUUACGUACUGAAAAGUGCAAGAAUAUGUGAUUCACAUAAACACAACUCUAACCUGCACUAAUGCUUAUUAGUAUUACAAUUCAAUCCCAAUGAAUUUAACUCCCUAACUAGAGAAGUAUAUAAUGGAAUUAUCAGUCCCAACAACAACUGAAAAAAAUGCAGAACUUCAUCAAACUCUAAGCUGAACGAACAUAAAAAAUGCAAUUUAGCUGAGCCAACUUUUUGUCAAAAAUCAUUUUUCUAACUACAAUAAGUACCAUCUAGACCUGCUGGGAACCGUAUUAACCACAUGAAAUUGACUGCCUAGGACGAACUUUGGGAAUAAAAACAGGAAAUGCAUUUUUUUUUUCCACUGAAUAUACAUAUUCUAACUUAAUUCUGCCACCCUGAAGAAAGCAAGGAGGUGAAUUGAGGAUCAAAAUAACUAGACAUUCAUGCAAUACUUUAAUCAAGAAACUGCAUUCAUGACCAGCUAAUUGUUUUUUGCUUUAAUACAUCCCCUUGAAAACAGGAUUUGUCCUGCAAAUGCUUGCUCCAUAUUCUUCAUACUCUGCCUUGGUAUGACAAGCCUGCACAUUGGGCCAGAAAUUUUAAAACAAAAACAGGUUAGCUUUGCAUAGGGUAUGAGACUGCUAUUAUAUGAAGGAAAGUAGGAAACAUUUAAGAAAUAAUGGACUUGUCUGACUGGAACAAGGACAUUAUCACAAGAAAAGAAGACAUCAUAGUCUAGAUGGCAAAAAAAUGCUGUUUUAUUUUUACACUGGUGCAGUUUAAUAUUCCCAAUAGCAACUAAUACCAUAUAAUUUGUUAUGUACUUGGAUGCAAUCAUAGAAUUGUUGAGCAAUGUGGUAAAACAUGAAAAAUCAACUCAGGUUACCAAUGCCAGACAAAGAGGCAUUAACAACUACAUAGGUGAACUUUCUCAAGGACAAAUCUAAGAUGUACUGCCAACAAAUAAAGGAAUAACCUAAACCUACAAACUCACACUAUCCAACACCAACAAUUUAAGACCAAAUGUGUAAAUGUCAAAAGAACACAUUAAGAUUUUGGACCAAGUAUUUAUGUGAUUAUGUCAGAGAAAAAAGUGAGUCACUGAACAAGUAUCCCAUACUAAAUGGAAACACUGAUUAUCAUUAUAGAGAAGUAGAAAUUAUGGUACAAGGAUUGACCUUCCUGACCCAUAAAAUGAACAAAAUGCAUACCGUAAAAAACUCAGGCGUUGAUGCAAGCACAGAACCCCCAAACCAAACUGCAAAUCUCUGGAUUGGAUGGCUGAGUACAUUGACCUCCACUGGAUGUGACUGUGGGCUCCAAAUAAAGGAAAUAAAGAAAAAAGGUGAAUGCCGGACCAAAGCAGUAAAUUACUCAAGCUUUUCAUAAAUAUGCCAAUGUCACAACUUCCAAGCAUGUGGAGAAGCUUGUGUAGACCUUGUCUGCACAAUUUAUGCCAACCAAACCAACCAAAAACAGACACAUCAUUAUUUUAAAUUGAGCGGCACGAAGAUUUGCGUAAUUAUUUAACAAAAAAUAAUGAUGUGUCCAUGGUUGACUGUUUUGGUCGUACAAAUUGUGUAAACAAGGUUAAUAUAGACAGAGAAAAAGAGCACCAUCGAUAAAAUAAGAAGUAUGUAUUAACUCACUUUUAUCUCCCCAUUUAGACGUGUUUCAGCUGAAAGGGCACGAGCAUCAACAAUUUUCUUUAGAUCACGUUGCAACCUCCUGUGAAAAUCCUUGAACAUGGUUGAUCCUCCAGACAACACUAUAUUCUGAAUUGAAGACAAUGCAAGAUGUAAAGAGUUCAACCAAUUGCUAAGAAUAUGUAAACUAGAAGGCUUCAUAAAAUCAGAUAUUAAAUACUGUAGACUCAUAUAACACGUAACACUAAUUUACUGCAUCUGGGCCAACAACAACUGAAAAUGCCCUCUGCUAAUCAUGAGCCUUAGAAGUUCCAUGAUAUUAGGGUAAAAGCUGACUACUCAAUGCUCAGUAAAAUUUAGUAUUUUAAAUAGAGGAAUGCUAGCAACACACUCUUCAAACACUUCUUAUAAUUGUCUAUUUUUUAAAAAGGUCAGUUUAGGAAAAUUAUAAAUUUACAAGGCAAAUGCAUUGACUUUCCGAAAAUAGAUCAAACCUGGGGAGUGUGUUGAAGAGUGUAUUCAAAAGAGUAUGUUGCUAGCAUUUCUCUCUUACAUAUAUCAUGUUAAAACCGCACAUCAUAAAAUUUAGGCCCCUGAAGUAGGCACUCUCACAGGGUUUACUUGAUGUGAAUGUCAGCCAGUAAAAUGAGAUAAGGUACUACGGUACUAACCUUGUACAAUGAUCUUCUCGUGUCAAUUGGAGCAGACUGAAUGCACUUGUCUAUUACAACUGGCAAAGGAGUGCUAAAGUCACUGCUAUAUAUCUCAGGAUUAAAGAAAACCUGCAGAAAUCAUAGAAAAAACAAACAGAUAUCUUAAUUCACCAAUCUUGUUGACAUAAUGACCUAAGUCCCAAACCCAUAGAGAAGUUCAACACUUAAAACAAGGCACUACUACAGCUACAUUUUCAUGAAUUCUUCAAAAGUUAAGGUUAAAGGAACAAACCCAAGGAGCACCAUGAGCUAUAGCUGAUCAGGUGACAACUUGAUCAGUUGAUCCCUGGUUGAAAUCCCAGCCAGGCUACAUUGCCAACAUUUUAAAGCCUCCCUUCCCCUCCCCCACACUAGGUAUUAGAUCUCUUUUAUAAACCAAAAGGGAAAAGGAACAAACUUUGACCUUAUCACGGCAAAGGUAGGGCAAGGCAAAAUGAAAAAAUAUCACUUCAAUUUUUUUUUAUCAUUUUCCCAUAAAAUCCCCUAUAAUUCAGGUUGGUAUUGAUGGUAGGAAGUAGGAACUAAUCAAGUUCAAAAUUAAUUCAGUAUUAAGGAUAUGGGUUCAGGUAUUCACAAAGCUAAAAAAGGUAAGAAAAAAAAAACAAGUAGAUACAAAUAUGUACAAUCCAGAACCCUCUAAGACAAAUUUAGGUAUGCAUAAUAGAGAAAAGUAGAGCCACCAAACAAACCUCAGGGCCAAGAAAUCGUUCAUAGCCAAUAUCACAGGAAUAUGGAGCCCCUGUCUUUGGUUUGAUGCCUCUCCAUUGCUUGAUAUAUUUGGCUGGUUCUUUGUCAUGUUUAUUAAAUUCCUGAGAAAUUGAGCUAUUGUUAUUAAGGAGAAUUUAUAAGUCCAGAAAGCAACUUGAUAUCCCUUAUUUCACAAAAGGGAAGCAAUUAAAAGUAUUAAGGAAGUUCAUAAACACCCUAAUGCUGGGCUCAACAAAAUUAAAAGAAACAAAGGGCACAGCACAUCACAAACUCCUCAGAUGAUUAUGUCCAAAGCAUUAAAGGUGAAAAUGGAGACAACCUUCACAAUGUCAGAGCAUGUGUAGCAAUACAUUUCCUUUACUUUACGAGCCACUUCAAAAGAAUCUUCAGGUGGUACAUUCUCUCCUCUUUCCUGAAUGAAACAAUGUCAACAUGAGACAGUUCAUGAAUCUGAAUAUUGAAAAUUGACAAUUGGAUAUGGAUUAUUACAAUCGCAUUAAGUGCAAAAAAAGAAAAGCAAAAUACAUGAAUAAUUUUUUACUCAAUCAUGAAUUAGUGACCUACACUUCCACUUAUUAACUAUUAAACAUGUAAAAACAAUUCUAUUAGCAUAAAUACAUCACAUAAUGUUCUUCCAUUUUUUAGUGUUUACACAUGAGACAUGACUGGUUUCAGUAGCUAGUCUAAAUGGAAAUUUGUGAGAACCCUCAAUAUUAACAAAAAGUGGUUCAAAGCAAUUCCCAGAUAUUAAAAUUUAGGAACAGAUACCAGCAGAAUAAAGUUCUACUUUUUACCACAAGGAUUGCCUACCCGCAUAAGCUGCUGAACAAAAAGAGUAACAUCCUUUCCAGCAAGAGGAAUCGAUUUGAUACUACUCCCAAUAACAUAGCCAUCUGCGACAGGCACAACAUGAGUAGACCCAUCUCCAACAUCCACUACGACUCCUGUCAUCUCACACUGAGAAGAAUUCCAAAUCAGCCUAAAAGGAAAACAUUCUGAAAAUAGGAUAUAGGUAUAAUAAUAAAAAUCAAGAAACAGAAUUUCUUGAUAGCUCCUGGGGCUAUGUCAUCAAGUUUGCAAGUAAUUGCGAAUAACCAACUUAACAUUUUACAUCCAACACUAUAAGGAGAGCUGAUAAAUUAUCCUAUGAGCUUGUAAUAUUGCAAAACUACCACAAAGUUCAUAUUCAACACAUCACACUUUCAGGCGAAAAUAUCAAGAGAGUCAAAUUGCAGGGGUUGAUAAAACAUCCUAUGCAUAUUGCGCAUCGAUAGCUAGCUAGAAAAGUUGUAGAGGAGAUUUUGCAGAAGCUUAAAUGAACAAAACAUUAAAGAUUAAUCAUCCAACUCCACAAUUCCAACUCUAUCUACAUACUACACAAUAUUUUUCACAGAGUACCAAUUACCAACCUUAGAUGUUGUGUAGCCAGCUGCAAGAGCAAGCACAGAAUUCACAGCAAUGUAAAGUCCAGGUACAUUAAAAGUCUCAAACAUGAUUUCCCCAGUAUACUCGCGACUCUCAGGAGCUGUCAACGGACUCUCCGUCAAGAGAAAAUAGUGAUCCUCAGGAUCACACCUCAAAUAGUUGAAUAUGCACUGCUGCCAGUAGCGCUCCAUGGCGUCCCAGUUAUCAACCUGGCCAUGCCGAAUCGGGUAAGUGAGAUUGUAAGUGCUGCUGGAUCGCGACUUAGAAAGCGCAUCAUCCCCAAUAAAGAAAUCAAGAUCCGCCAUAACCCCAGCGUUGUGCUGGGCAACCCAAUUGCCUUUAGAAGUGCUCCUCGAUUGAUUCAGAAAGGACUCGUUAACCGCAACCACUGUCGGAACAAUAAAACAUGGCUCAACAUUACCAGCAAACCCCAUCUUCGUAUACCUGCAACAAAAAACAUAACCCAAUUCAUGUCAAUCAGGAAUUCACACAAUUCUAAUCACAGAACUUCGAAAAAUCAAAAAAAUCCAACAGGGUAAUUUUAACAAACACGUGGUGGGCAAUAUUGAAACAGAGCAAAAAAAACACCCAGAUGGAGAAAAGGGUACCCGGAGCCAUUAUCGAUGACUACAGCUGGACGAGAAGUAGCGGGGUCCAUGAGGAAGAGCGAGAAGGCAGUGAAGUUUGAAGGUGUAUGUGAAGGUGAGAUCCGGAAGUGAGGGUGAAGCAAGGGAUCAUGGUGGUGUAGGUGAUGAGGAUGAUGGUGACGCAGGCUUUGAUAUGAAGUGAAAAGAGCGAGUGAACAACGUAGAAUUAGGAAGAUGUUGGAAGUGGUGGUGGUUGGUGAUUGUUACUCUUGUUGUUGUUCUUCUUGCCAUUUUCAACUAUAAACUCGUAACAAAUGAAGGUUCCAUUAACUCUGUUUGUUUUCCUGAUAUGCUUUCCUUUUCCACAAUCAAACUAUGGAAAUGGUCCUUUUCUCUCUUCUCUCUCAACCUUUGCUCUAUUAAUUAUUAUUGACUUAAUACUUGUUUUUGGGCUGCCACAAGCCCAAUGGCCCAACACUACAUCAUUGUUUUUUUUUGCAAAAUUAUCAUCCUUUCUUCGAAAAAAAAGUUUGAUUUUAGUAUUUUACUCAUUUUCUACUUUUGUUGAACUCAAACGGUAAAACACACAUCUCAACACAUUAAGCGGAGAAAUAUAAUUUGUCACAUUAACAAAUGAAACAUCGUUGAUUAGGGAGGGAGAGGCGGAGGAGGGGCUGGAAGAUUUGGGGGAAUGUAUGGAAGGAUACGGUGGCUGCAUGGUGGAGGUGGAGGAAGGUUUGGGGGAAUGCAAGGAUAAUGGGGGAGGAAGAGUGGAAAUGAGAAAGAGAAUAACUAAAAGUGAUUAAAGAGAACUUUGAAGAACUAUAAUGUAAAAAGUAAAUGUGGACAAGUUAUAUCUGACUAUAAUUGUCCUUGGGUUGGUGACUGUUUGAAAAAAAUUGUAACAUAAACCUAAUAACAUCACGGUAUCUUUCUUUAAAACAAUUUUUUUUGACUAGAAGCUAUACAAACAAUUUAGGGACCAUUUGAGACUCAAUUGUAGUAUAAAUCAAGGACUAAACAUAUUUAACUCUUGGUUAAAAUAAAAAAAGAUUGUAUGCGACCAAUUAACUAAUUUCAAUAACUAACUUUUUGGUCUUGUGUCCUUGAAAUUAAGAUUGACUAAUCAGAAUUGGCUAGUUAUACCUUCUUGAAAAAGGUAAAUAUCUCAUAAAACUAUCUAUUUUUACAUAGAAAAAACUACAAUACAUUGGAACCAAAUAUCAUAUCUAUAGGAAAUCAAACUCAUCACCAUUUUAACCAUUUAUUUUAAAGAUUGAUAUAAAAAGGUGAAAUAGUAAUUUAUGUAUGUGACACUCGGGGCCGACAAGGUAUGAGAGUGAUCGACGGUGUAAUGAGGUAUUCCGAGAUUAUAUAUAUGAAAUUAUACCGUUUAGGAAAGUAUAAAAGAUUUGAUUGAUACUACUCAUGACAUCAACACGCAUCUUCUUUUCGGAAGCUCAACUUUUAAAAACUUCAAAGUUAAGUAUGUUUGUUUUGAAGCAAUAUUUAGAUGAGUAACCUCUUGUGAAGUUUUCUCUUAAAGCAUAUGAGUUAUGAAGAUAACACGUGUUGGAAAACUCGUGUUGUUACCGUAAAAUCAAUCAUCAUAUUAGGAUGUUACAAUAUAACUACAAAAGUAUUACUUUUAUUUUUCCAUUCAUUCUCUCUUUUUUUUUCUCUUAAUAUAAAUAAUUUAAAAAUUACCUCAUUUUUCACCCAUAUUCUUUAAACUCAUUUCUAUUUAUUCAUCCAAAUAAAGCAUUAGUUUUUGAAAGAAAAUUAUAAUUGAAAUUGGAACUCUAGACUUUAAACUUUAUUUGUAUAGUUAGGUGUUAGGCCAAGCCACACCCACCAUGUUCUCCGGCAAACAUUCCUGGGAACAAGGUCUGCGGAGUGCGGAAUAAACAAGACAAGACAAGUAUGGUAAUUAACCUUUUGCAGUUCUUUAUGCCUAGUGCCUAUCCUAGCAUUAUCUCUCUUUUGGUAUAAAGAUGUCGCCAAAUAUACUCAUGUCAUGCCAGUUCUUUACCUUGCACUAAAACACGAGAAGUCUUCUUCAAUUAAGAAAGUUUUUUUUUGAAUUUAGCAACUUGGCUUAUGUAAAACUUCAAAUCGUGCAUAUUUUGAUUUUUUAGAUACAAGAGUUUCUUCAUGCAUACGAAGCAGAUUAUUUUUAAAAAAAAAAAUUGUUUUAGUAAUUCCAACUCAGACGUGGUGAAGGUUAAAUGUCACCCCCAAUUAUUCGGGUAUUAGAAAUCGAAUUCUCGACUUAGAGAUUCAAACAACCACUUAUUACUAUUGUAAUCACCCUCAUUGGGUUCAGGUUCAACAUUUUACAUUAAACAAAUUUAAAAAAUAAAGUAUUAAAAUAUAGAAUAUAGACCUAAAGGGUUUAUGUGUAAACCAUUUGGUCGAACCAAGGAAUAUACUCUUCAAUUAGAGUACCCCAAGUCCAGAUCAAGUCUUAAUGAAUAACACAAACUUGUUCGUUUCUCAACUUCAAUGUUAAGGGGUUGUGUACUCUCCCACGUGGUCCGACCAAGGAAUAUAACCAUCAACCAAGGUAUCACAAGCUCAUAUCAAGUCAUAGUAAGAACAACACAAACAUAUUCGCUUCUUAGCUCCAUCAUUGAGAAGAUAUAUACCAUCUCAUAUGAUCUCAAACCAAGGAAUUACCCCUCGACCAAGGUAUCCCAACUCCAUAAACAACAAAAGUAUGUUCGCUUCAAAGCUCCAACCUUAAAGGGGUUGUGUACUCACCAAUCUAGUUGGACCAAGGAAUAUAUCCCUCAACGUCUCAACGAGGGUAUUCGAAGUCCAUACCAGGUUAUAGUAAUAAUAGCACAAGCAUAUCCAUUUCUCAACUUCAACCAUACGAGGUUGUAUACCCCCUCUUCUAGUCGACAUAGGAAUAUACCCCUAGAUUAGGGCAUCUCAAGUCCAAAUCAAGCCCUAGUAAGAAUAAAAUAAACAUGUCAACUCCAAUCUUAAGAGGACGUGUAACCUCUAACUUGGUCAGAAAAAGGAGUAUACCCCUCGACCAGGGCAUCCUAAGUCCGAAUCAAGUCCUAAUAAGAACAACUCAAGCCUUUUUGCUUCUCAACUUCAGCUUUAAGGGGUUGUGGACCCGCUCUUCCUCUUAAGUUAGGCACACUCCUAAGAAUAAGUUCAUACCUUAUGGUUGAGGACUUGAGGUAUCUCUGGUCUUGUAUGAUCUCGUUUAUAACUACAAUGUAUACUUAAAAGAGGACAUACCUUUGCAUUCAGUCAACAAACGAUUAUAGGGGACUACACACGAUACUAAAGAGGAAACAAACUCUGAAGGCUCGAGAGUCAAAGACAACAAGCAGAAGGGAUUCAUAGGAUAUGGGAGACAAAUUGUACGUACAAACUAAAUACGCGUCGCUUAGCAGCUCACAACUUAAAAGAAGAAAGGGACAUCGUCACUACAAGACAAAGGGAUGGAAAAACUGGCAUGAAGGAAAAUUACGAAUAAACAAUAAUAGACAAUAUGAAAGGCAUUAGGCGAAUAAGAGCAAGUAUAUAUUUACUUGUAACCAUGUAAGGCUAUUAUAAAAGUGUUUAAUGCUUCUUUCCGCACACUUAACCUGUCAUUAUACUUAAACUUUGUGAGAACAGUUACUAACAACGUUUCUCGGCACCAAAAUCUUGGGCUAGAACAAAACGACUAGAAAUCAAUAUAGUCCCAAACGAUGAAUAUUAUUAUAAAUGGGUAUAUUUAUUUUAUUUGAAUAUUACUGAUUGUAUUGAGGGACAAAAGAUUGUAUUCCAACAAUGAAGACUUUUUUUGUCAUGAUAAAGUAGGUCAAGCUAAUAAGGAUAAUUGGGUACUUUUUGUAUCUUUUUCCCCUUCUAAUAUCAUGAGUUUUCCGUGCCUUGGGGUGAACUUUUUAAGUGUGGACUCCACCUGACUUUUACCAUUCACCCUACAUUCAAUCUCAAAAACAAUAUUUUCCCUUAGAAAAUAAAAAUAUUUUCAUCUAGAAUACCCUAUCUGGAGCUGUCUAAAAUUACUCAUUAGAAUUUUUUUUCUCAUUUAAUUGGACAAAUAUAAUAUAAGGUAUAAAUAAAAUAAAAAGUUAUAGAAGUCCUUACCGCUUAUCUCAAUUUUUAUUAAUUAAUUUUCCCUGUAUAAGGUAAAAAAAUCUUCAUGAGUGAUUUAAACUACCUAUAUUUUUAUUUAAUUAGUUUUUUACGUAUAUAUGUUUGAUUUUGGAGCUCAAAUGAUAAAUUCUCACAAAUGACUAUCAAACAUUCGGCAUCCCAAAAUAGUUUUACUAAGUUAGAGUUGAUUUAUAGGUUCUUAAACCCAGUGACGGAUCCAGAAAUUUAAUGUAGUGGGGGCAAUAUAUACAUAUAAGUUUAACAAAAAAUAUUAACAUAUACUUUUAGAAGUGAAGACAUUUUUUACCAAAGGGAACACAAGUGAUGACAUUUUUUAGCAAAGAGAUCAUAAAAAACCACAUACUUUUACUACUCAAGUGAGGGCAAUUAGCAAUGUGUGAUACAUUUAGCAAUGUAGGACAUAAGUGAAAACAUUUUUUAUCAAAAAGAUCAUAAAAAAUCACAUAUUUUUACUACUCAAAUUUUUUUUCUAAUGUUUUUCCCAAAAUUAAGUAAGGGCACUUGCCCUCAUACCUAUACAUUUGCAUCCGUGUGCUUAAACCAAACACACACUUAAAUGAGCGUAAUUAAUCCAAGUGAUAUUAUGCCCUAUUCUUAUCUCCUCUCUCAUCAUCAUAGGAAGUAGGAACAUUAGACAACGUGUUCUGGAUAUUGUAGAAUCCAAGGAUGUUCAAAAGGAAAAAGCAUACAUUGAAAAAUGAGAGAUGUGGAGGAGAGUGACAACAUCAUGCAAAGAACCAAAUACUUGAAAUAAAACAUUUUUGGUUUUCAAGGUAUCUCUCGGUUGGCACUUGGCAGUAAAAAUAUAAGACUUGAAAAUUAUAUUAAGUGGGUAAGUCUAUUUUAAUAUUUUUUUACAUACACAUCACUCUAAAUUGGAACUUAAACAAAAUGCAUCUAACUAUUUACAACUAUGCUAAAUCUUGUUGGAAUAAAAUAUUUUGGUUUGAGGUUAUGGAGACUGAGACAGUCAGCGUAGGACAACUUGGGAACUCUCGCUUUCCACUACGAAACCCAACUCAAGACAAAAUCUUUAAACUUAUAGUAACUCCAUAAUCACCCCAUAAUUCUUGCAAUAUUUUAAGGGAACGGGGACAAAUUGACAAUUAAAUAAUUGCUCGAAGAUUUGCAUAAUAAUUAAUUCAUCUUCGAUCGUACGUGCUCUAAUAUUUUAAUUAUUGGGGGUUGCUGAAUAUAUAUACCUGGCGAUGUUAGUCUGAUUCCUUUAUUGGUUGCUGCCACCCAACACAGACAUGGAAAUAAGAAUCAAUGCACUGCAUUGAGCAUUGAAACUGCUUCCUCUUAUAGCCUUUUAUGUUUAGAAAUCAGAAAUAAAAUAUAAAGCAUUAGGGGGGAGCAGAGCAGUGGUGAAAAGGUACGGAUGAAAUUAUCAGAAGCACCACAGCGAUUCUAGUAGGAAAAUGACUUGUUCAUAUUUAUCUAUGUUCAUAUAAAUGAGAGAUAGAAAGAAAAAAAUAUAAUUGAGAGAUAUGAUAAGUAAUGUGAUAGAAAAAGAUAUGAAAAAUAUAAAAAGAGAAAGUAAGUUAAAAGUUUUUAAACUUCUAAAUUCCGCCAAAUUAGAAAAUAUCUUAUUCUUUUAAUUAAAAUUAAAGUCAAAUGUAAUUAUCUCUCCUAUGUGGCAUGCUUUGAUUGGAUGACUGUGUAAAACUAUUUUACACCGUCAGUGCAUAUCCAUUAAACUCUACUUUUUAAUAUAAUUAGGAAAUAUAAUUGUGUAAUUAACUAUUUUGUUAACAUAUUUGUUAUAUAUAAAUAAUUACUUAAUUUAACUUUACCAUUUUUGAAUUUUUUAUUAUUAAAAUUUAACUCUUUAAUAUUUUAAUUAAAUGCAUGAAAGGUUUUUUAAUUAAUUUUUAAUACAAUUAGUAAUGUAAAAAACUAAUUAAUAAUUUCAUUAAUGUAAGAUUUUUCCUUUUUUAUAAUUAAUAACUAAUUCUAAUAUUCAACAGUAUUCCAAUUAAUAUAUUUAUAGAUUUUUUACAAUUAUAUUUAAUAUUACAACUAAUAAUAUAAAAAAUCAUUAAUAAUUAAUUAAUAAUACAAUUAAUACAAUGAUGAAAGUGCAACUGAAACAUACCCCUAUGAAGCCCAUCCAACUUCCAAGAAGAAGGACAGUAUUGUAAUUUUGGUGUUGUCUCUUUAGACUAGGAUAUACAAACUAGUCUUCGUCCUUGGUUUCUUUGUGCUCUGUUUGCUUUUCCAUUGAUCACUCUCACUCCUUAAACCUUGAGAGAGCCUACUCAUUCUCUUAAUCCACACACGCGCAGAGCAAAAAACUUCACCAAAACACACACUCAUUAUUCUUACCCUUUAUAGUAUCAUCAUUAUCACCAUUAUUAUUAUUUAUUUAUUUACUUAUUACUUAUCCUAAUUCCAAAUAAACAAACACAAACUCAUAGAGAGUGAGAGUGGGAGUGAGUGAGAAAACGUUGGUUUAACUCGCCGCCGUGAGUGAAAAACCGAUCACAUUCACCACCAUGGGAAACUUAGACCCCACGGCGGAGGAGUUCAAGCCGAGAAGAAACCCUAACCACUUACCCUUACCCCCACCCCCACCCCCACCCCCA
rnacentral:lncRNA from 1 species